GCAACUAUACAAAAUCUUCUCCUUUUUGCUAGUCUUUUAGCAUCAAUGGCAAUUCGAUUACAUGGUAUUCCACAUAUUAAGCGAAGUCUUCGAUCGAACAAAGAAACUUCUAUGGUAUGUUUUGAGAAAAAAAAAAGUUUAAAUUCAAACAAGUUUUCUCUUUACAUGCUAUAAGAUAUCAUCUAAAAUAUAGUAUUACUUCUCCCCAUAUCAUAAUACCCUAAAUCCUAAUGAUUAAGCUCAAACAUCUUUGUGCUACUCCUCACCAAUCCUCUAUUUAACCCACAAUCUCCUUUCUUUUUCACCAAAAUCUUUGUACACAGAAUAUGCUUAUGCAUGAAUUUUUAUAUAAAAAAAAAUAAAAUAAACAUUGAUGGAUCUAGGGGAGGCAGUCCCCUCCCCACUGUUCCACCCUUCUUUGUCCAAUAGAAUUGGUUUAGUGGAAAACCAUAUUUUAUAAUCUUCAUCUCACAAGGACCAUUUAGUAGAAAUGGCUUGUCGGUUGUAGAAUCGAGAUAACAAGUGAGAUAUAUCUGAUGUACUCUAAUUGUUCGCUAAAUAAAUAUUAAAUUUAAAUAAAUUUUUUCUUUACAUGCCAUCAAAUAAAAUCUUUCAUAAGGUACUUAUCGUCUAAAAUAAUCUAGAUAACAAGUGAGAUAUAACUGAUAUAUUUUAAUUGUUUUCGCUAAAUAAAUAUUAAAUUCAAAUAAAUUUUCUCAAAUAAAAUCUUUUGUAAGAUACAUAUCAUCUAAAAUAUAGAAACACUAUAUGCAUGUCUUUUUAUCAAAAAACAUAAGCAUUGGUGGAUCUAGAGGGGCAACCCCCUCUCUCUUGCUCUUCCUCCUCCCUUGUUCAAUAGAACUAGUUUAGUGCAAAACCAUAUUUUAUAAUCUUUAUCUCAACAUGACCCAAUUAUAUUGCUUACUAGCAAUUCUGGCCAAAGGGUCGGCUUUUCGAAUGUAGAAUCGAGAUAUAACUGAUGUACUUUAAUUGUUCACUAAUAAUAACAUAAAGAAAAUGUUUUGUUAAAAAAAAAAACAAAAAAAAAACAAACAAAUUUUCUCUUUACUCCAUCAAAUAAAUUAAAGAGAACUAUGUGCUCAAUUGUUUGAUUCAUUUUGACAUGAGAAGAGUAAUAGUGUGACUAAUGAUCUAGUGAAGAAAAAAAAAAGGAGUUUUGAUUGAAGUUGGAGAGAAUGAGAUUUGGAAAUAGAAAAGGAAGAAGAUAGAUGUAGCAGUAAACACAUGUUAUUGUUGUAUCGAAAUCUCUUUCUUUCUUAUUUUAUUUCACACAUAAGGAUAAUACUAAUAUAUAGUUCAAAAUGUUAUCAGAUUUCGUUAAUAUUUGGUGAACAUAUGGAUAUUAGAAUAUGUAAUAUAUACCAUCACUUAGAUCGGAUAUACUCGUAUUUAGAUUUCGUAAUCAUCUUAAGAUCACAUAACCUUAGAUCUCCAAUAAAUUGUUCAAGAAAAUUUCACUAAUAUCGAAUCUUAAAUCACGAAUCAUGACGAUCACUAAGGUUUCCAAGAGUGAAGCUGAAGGUUCUACAUACAAAUGCAUCCCUUGCUCACUUCGUUUUGACCUCAUGUCGGAGCAAACACACCAUCGCACCAAUGUGUGCAAAAACAAUAGCAAGUCUUGCGAAAGAUGUAAGAAUCUAAAACAAGAAAAAUGGAAGACUAAGAGCACCAAAGGAGGAUCACAAAUAACCCAAGCCAAAAUUCAAGAAAGACUGAUGUUUUGUUACUAGAUGAGUUUGGGGUAAUGGUUUCAUGAGACUCAAUACUUAUAUAGUUUGAUGUUUUUUGUUUUUAUUUUUAUUUUAAAAAGAAAAGAAUUUAGUAACGAAAUGAUGGCAUAAUCUGUUUUUAUAGAGUUCAGAACUUUAAAUAUUCGCUCAUAUUUAGUAGUAGUGUGUUAGUAAUUUUAAUUUAUCAAUAUGUUGGUACCAUUCAAGUUUUAAGUUAUUCAUUAUACUCAUUUGCCGAUAAAAAUUAUAAAUUAGACUAACUUAUUUAACUUGUGAAAUAAUUAUGGUUGUUGUUAUUGCCAAGAAUGUUUUUUAUAUUGUAAAGAGUUUGACCUUUGGCAAUAUAAAUAAAGGUAGGUUGCUGCUAUUGCCAAGAGUCAGACCCUUUGUAGUAAAAGGCCAUUGGCAAUAGCAGGAGCCAUAACUAUUUCAGAAACAAAUUUGUGUAGUUUGUUUUAAUAUUUUAUAGAAGUUAAUCGUUAAAAAUUAUAAAUUCUUAUAAUAUUUUGUUAAUUUGAUUAUUUUUUUUUAAUUAUUGGGUUUCUUGCUCAUAAAUAAAAGGGUAAUUUCCCGAAUAAGCACAUGUUUAUAACGUUUCUUCCCAAAUCAGCACAUUUGACUGCAAUCUUCCCCAACAAGCACAAUUCUCGGUUUGACUUUUCAAUUGGACAUUUCUACCCUUAUGACAGCUUUAAGCCGUCACAUCAUAUCUGCUGUUUGUCUGAUUUUUCUCUCUCCUCAUUCAAUUCAGCAAACUAAACUCUCGCCGUUAGAUGAAAAAGCAUCUUUGAUUACCACCGUUGGAUGAAAUAACACAGAAACCAGCAUUCUCAAUCCUCCACAACACACUACUCUAUCCUCCACCCAGAAAAGACAAAAACAACUGUCUUACCUUAAAAGAGAAGUUAACCAAAACUACUUUCUCUGUUCUUCUUCUUCUUCACCUUCUUUGUUCAUCGCAGAGAAUGAACAAGAAGAUAACCUCUUUUCAUCAGAUCACAAUCUCUUUGUCGUAAAGCUUCGAUUUUUUUUUUGACGUUGGGGUUUUCAUCGGUAAUAUGUUCAUCAUGGGAAAAAAAGGAAACAAUAAGGGCAAGCAAGUUAUGAACGUUCAGAUUCCUGGUAAGUUUUGAGGUUUGAAGGUUGUUCAUUUAUAAUGGUAAUGGGGGGUUUGAUUUCAGUGGCAUCAAUACCAAUCAUUGGUAUUAAAGUUGUCUGUUUUAGGUUUCAAUCUCAGUGGCAUUAAAGUAUUUACUCACACACACACACCCACCAGCUUAAAUGCAAGCAUUCAAUUGUGGGUGGGGUUUCAACUCUAGUUGAUGUUUGGGUUGGGGGUAUGAAAACCAUAGAAUUUGGUUUAUGGGUUUCUAACAUGUUGUUGUCAAGCUUUAAAUCACUAGUGUCUACCGUGUAUGGCUCUUUGUCUCUGUUUUUAUGGGGGGUUUUGAAGUUUUUUAUCUAAUGAUUAGAAGAUCUAAAAGUGGGUUUAUCAUGUGGUACUGAUUAUCACUUUGACAUACAUUCUUAAAUUUAUAGACGAUAAACUGUCAUCUGUAACCGUUAAAACUGAUAUUGUAGCCGAAACCUUCAGUACACUCGUUUAUAGAGAUGUGAUAUUAAACCCAUUUUAAUUGAUGUUAUGCAGAGAGCACAUUUAAUAUCAUAUUCCAACAUGGUGGGCAAUUGGUUGUUACAGUUGAAGAAGUUGAGAUUGCAUAUGUACAUGGUGAGUCAAAAAUAAGGAUCGCUAAUAACAAGACAUCCUACGGAGACUUCUUGGAAUUGGUUGAAUCCUUAUGUAAGGCACCAAGAACAACUUGGUCAUUGCGAGCUGUAAUCAACAAUAAUCCAACUAAGGUUGAAUGCGAAGAUCAUUACAUGGCAAUGAUUAGAUACAUUACAAAUUCAGCUGUAAUGGUGAUUUCUAUUUGGGUGGUUGAUCAUUUAACACCAGUUAUGAUACAGUCAGAGACUAAUGAAUCCUCAAGCCAAGUGAGUGAGAUACCAAGAGAGCUGCCCAAGGGGGAUUCCAAAACUAGUCAAUCUUUGAAGAGAAAACUUUUCCCUGAACCUGUUGUCAAUAAUCUAGGCUUGGGUAGGAAACCAGACUACUCUUCUUUUUGUACACCAACAAAACCUUUCCAUGUUCCUGAUGAAUAUAGAUUGGAAACUCCUUCUCAAGACCCAGAAGUGACUGUAAAGGGAAAGGGGCACUCAAAUGACCCUUUAUUCUUGGAAACCCCUCCCCCUAAUGUUCAAGUGAGAGAUGAUGUUUACAUUCCUCAACCUCCAAUGAACUUGACUCCCUUAUCGGCUAGAACAGCAACUGGAUCGCCUAUAUGUGUACCAAAAUUGGCUAGAUUUGAUAAUCUUGAAGACAUAGUAGGGAUUCUAUCUGAUAUGCGUAGGGAUAAUGGUUUUGGGGAUUCAGAUGAAUUGGAAAGUGUAGAAGAAAGAUUAGAUCCAGAGAUAGAGAGAAGCCAAGAAGAAGUACUGGAUGAUGACAGUGAGGGUGAAUGUGAGGAAGGCCAAUGGGAUACAGAAGAGGAUGUGUUCGACUCAAAUAGUGAUUACUCUUAUAAUUCAUUCGAUAGACUUGAAGAUGAGUUUGAAUCUGAGAUGUAUACUGACAGCCAGCCAAUGUUUGGUCCUACACCACCUCCUCCAUCUCAUAAUGAAGAUGAUGGUGUCAUCCAAUCUUCAUCUGAAGGCAUUGGUGAGAUGAAAACACCAAUUCUUGACACCCAAGAUCAAGAUUUUGAGAACGAAAUGUACAAUGACAGCUACCCAAUGUUCGGUGAUCUAUCGACACAAGAAACCGUGCAUAGCGAAGAUGUGGUAACGGAUAGAAAUGCUAAUGCAGGGGAUAUACGGUGCAAUCUAGAGGAUCGUUUCGCUCGAGUAGGGGAUUACGUCAACAAUCAACCACAACAUAACACUGCGCCGCUACAAGACAACCCUCCAACUCCUACCACUGUGCCACUUCAAGACAACCCUCCAGCUCCGACCACUGUACCUCCUGAUACAGAUGUACCAUUUCCCAACAAUGUGCCACUCCAGAAGAAUGUAAGAGUUACGGAAAACCGCGAUAACGAUGAAGUGAAACGUGAAUUAGACAAAAUCUUUUCUGCGUACAUUGCAAAAUCUAGGGUAAAUGUUGGUUGUGCUCCCCAUACAGAGCCUUCUCACAAUGAUUAUGUUAGACCUGCAUGUGGAAUAGUAUAUUUAAGUCAAGAUGAUCUUGAAAGGGACCUCCAAACCUACGCGAUUAAGACUGAAAAAGAUAUACGCAGGCAAAGCACCAACACAAAAAGGUUGAUUUGGAAAUGUAAAGCAGAUGGUUGUCCAUGGAGAGUCUACGCAACACGAAAUAUGGAUAACACUUGGAAGAUUUGUAGAAUGAAUGAUGACCACUCUUGUGGUAAUUUUAGAGUUGGAGGAACAAAUCCCCAAGCAAAUAGUGAUUGGGUUUCUAGAGUAUUAAUGAGAAAGUUAAGGGAUAACCCAAACUUAAAGCCUAAAGCACUUGUAAAGAUGGUCAAGGAAGACUAUGAGACCACAGUUUCAUACAAAGUUGCAUGGUUUGCUAAAGAGAAAACACUGAUGAAGGUAUAGCAUCUUCUACUUUGUUUCUGUAGUCGCUACCAUAGGCACUAGUAUCGGCUAGAUUGUUUUCUGUGUAGAGUAUAGUUUUUCACAUCUAUUCUUUGUUGCAGAUAAGAGGAAGCUACAGCUACUCAUAUCAGUUGCUUGAGACAUAUAGUCAUGAGCUCAUGAGUGUUGAUCCAGAUGCUGUGACUGAUAUUCUAACUGGACCAGGUGAUCGUUUUGAAUGUUUCUUUUGGACAUAUGGUAUAUCAGUUAGGGUCUACAAGAAGAACUUGCGUCCUGUAGUCAUUGUUGAUGGAACUUUCCUUAAAGGGAGGUACCCUGGAACAAUUCUAAGUGCUAUUGCAGUCGAUGGCAACAACCAUGUGUUCCCCCUCGCUUUCGCAGUUGUAAUGAAAGAGAAAAAUGAUUCUUGGGAUUGGUUUUUUACCAAACUAAGGGACCAUGUGGUUGGUGUAGAUCACCAGUUCAUUUUGUUAUCUGAUAGACACAAAAGCAUCAUCCAAGGUGUUCCUAAAAUUCUGCCAAAUGCUGUCCAUAUGUAUUGUUCCUAUCACAUGAGUGGCAAGUUUGGUCACAAGAAAAUCAAGUUCUUGGUGCAAGAAUCAGCAAAAACCCUCAACCAACAAGAAUUUUGGGGAAAUAUGCUAGGAAUAUGGGUCCUAUCCUCCAAAGCACAUGAAAAACUUAUGGAUGUUGGGCCUUUAGAAAAGUGGGCAAGUGCUUUUCAAGAGAAAUCCAGGUAAGUUUGCUAACAUAUUUCUGUGUACGCUACAAUACAACUCCUAUCCGGUACUAUAAGGUUUCUAUCCUUUACAUUGAUUUUGCAGAUAUGGAAUUGUGACAACAAAUCAUGUGGAGAGCUGGAACAAAAUGAUCAUUGGAGAAAGAAUGAUGCCAAUUACUACCAUUGUUUCAAUGAUACGAGAUAAUGUAAUUAGGCAUUAUCGAGAUUAUCGCAAUGAUUCUUUGAAGUUCAAUUCACCUGUCACAACAUGGUGUCAAGAGCAAAUAGUGCACAAUGCCGCAGUUGCAAGAAAGUGCACACUUGAAAGAGCUUCAGCAGGUAUUUGGUCUGUUAGAGGGCUUAAAAGGUCAUGUGUGGUUGACCUCAACAAAAGAUCAUGUACAUGCAAAUGGUUUCAAACCAUGGGGAUACCAUGUGAGCAUGCCAUGGCAGCUAUAAAGGAAGUUGGAUUUGAUCCAUACAAAUUUGUUGAGGUGUACUACUUGAAGGAAACAUACAUAGAAACUUAUAGAGAAGAAUGGACACCCACAAGAGGGAAGGAAGAAUGGCCAACCGACAGACAAAGAAGAAGAAUUCUUCCACCACUAAAAACUUCAAAGGCAGGGCGUCCUAAAACAGCCAGGAAGAGAGGUAAAGCUGAGGGUGUCCCUGUCCAGAGUAGGCGAUGUUCAAUGUGUAGAGUCAGAGGUCAUAACAAAUCAACUUGUCUUGAAUGUAUAGAUGACUAUCAACUCUUCAGUCACACCCUAUUUGGUGAAGGGCCACCACUUAGCCCUGUUCCAGCUACAAUCUAAGUACUGAAAUGGGUUUUGUACUUUUUUGGGAAUGUAUCUUCCACAUACAUGUUUAGAUCCUCUACAUAUUGCCUGUUAUCCGUUGACUUUAUUUUGUAUUGAUUUUCAUGUUAUAUAAGGGUAUGGGCUUCAAAUCCAACCUAUUUUUGACAGGAAAACACUAUUGUUAUCGUAUGUUUUAUCAGUGACACUUGAGUGUUACCUUAUUUGGUUGUUAGGUUUUUGCAUAGAUUGUCUACUGUGCAUUGCAGUGUUGUCCUCUAAGUUUGUACUACCUAACGGCUACCAUAUAUUUGUGUAGCCUCUACAAUUCAAACAUAAAGAACAGGAACAAUAUAGGUUCACCUAUAAACCAAAUAAGAACAGAAUGUAUCAUUCACAACCAUGAACAUAGAUUCAUAAACAACCACAUAAAAAACAUUGGGUUCAUAAACAACCAUAUAAACAUGUCUUCAAACAACCAAAUAAAAUGUAUAGCAUACAAUACAAACAACAAAUAACUAAAUUUUGCUCUUGUUUUUGGAGGAGGGAGGUUCCCCUAUAUCAAUUAGGUCUCUGGCAAUACGAUAGCGCAUCUGAAGAGGAUCUGCAUCGAACUGAGGUGGUAUUCCUCGAAGCACGCAUUCGACGAAGGCAAGGAGGAAUAAUCCACAGCUACAACCAUCUGGUUGUUCAGCACACUUAACAUACUCACGCUUCCACUUCAUAUCCAAUUUGAGUUGAACCUGUGAUGGAUCAGCAGCAAAAACAACAUAUGGCAAAAACUUUUCCAUAUUUCUCAAUUCAGGUAUACCCCUUGUCAUUCCCAAUGAAUCAUAGAUUCUAACAAUUUUCUCACUAAAAUUGAAAGAAAGCAGAAUCCAGUGGUUAUCAUUCACCUACAAAUAACACAUAUAUACAUAUCAAUAGUGGCAAAUAGAAAUAAUAAAAUAGAGGAUAAAUUAUGACAUGUAGAGGUAGUGGAGGAAAGUAUGAAAUAUACCUGUAAUGGGAUGAGAAGUGCCUUUGCUUUCACAGGGUGAACUUCAUUUUUGAGACCUACCCAGGGAUCAACAAUUGAAGUACAACCUGAUGAAAUUUGGAAACGCCCAGAUGUCACUCUUUCCUGAGGAUUCAUUUUGGCAAAACUCUUAUCUUUCAUCAGUUUGUCGUAUUCAGGCAUCACAUCACACUUGAUUUUGGUCUACAAAAAGGAAAAAUAAUUCUUCAAACAGCUCAGAAUUGAAGGUUAUAAUUACUAGGUAGAAUAAGGGAACAAGGUACUUACAUGUAGAUAUACUGUUGAAACAAUAGCAUAUUGAUCUUCAUCCCUAAAGUAAUAUGGCCUCAUGGUACCAUACCAACGAAUGAGCAGCCUGAGAUAGAUGUCAAUAAUCUCAUCAUUAAGCCAAUUACCUUUGUAGAGUGUGUUGUAGGCACUCACUGAGCAUGAAGCCAGAAAACCAUAACUUCUCAUGGGGACUCUACUCCACUUUGGGUCAGAAGCCAAACUCCAAAAGUAGUGACAAAGUUUUGUAUCAUCCUCUUCCACUUGUCUACUGAAGAAUGGUUCUUUCAUUAUCUCUGACAUCCUUGCAUUACACCUAAGGCCCAAAGAAAGUUCACCAACCUCCAUGUUUUGAUAAGUUUUGGCUUCCCUUUCCCUCUUUGCCACUCUUAAUGCUUGCAGGUCAAAUUUUGUAUCCUUCUCAUCAUCAUCAGAUUCCUCUACACCAAGAAUGAGAACACUCUUCCUGCCUGAUGACUCCUCAAUAUCUGAUGCAGUAGGUGUUUCAAAUCUAUACUGUUGAGGUACAUCUUCUCUAUUAACCACCACAUCAGUAUGAUGAUCACAUCCACCAUUGUCAUCAUCAUCAUCAUUCUUAUCAUCAUUCUUAUCAUCAUCAUUCUUAUCAUCACUCUUCUUAUCAUCAUCCUCCCUACCAUCAUCUUUUUCAUCCUCAUCCUGCUUAUCAUCGUCCUCCUUACCAUCAUCUUCUUUAUCAUCAUCAGAAUCAUCAUCCUGCUUAUCAUCAUCUUCAUCAGAAUCAUCAUCCUGCUUAUCAUCAUCUUCUUCUUCACUAUCAGCAGAUUCAACAGUUGUAGAAGAUGCCCCAAUGAUCAGUUGUAGCCGUCUCGGUUUCAUCUGUUGUUACCUUUGUUGGUGUAGCGGAUGGAUCCUCAUUUCUAGCAGACAAUGUAUCUUCUGUAGGAUCCUCAUUUCUAGCAGACAAUGUAUCUUCUGUAGCGGAUACAGAAGGAUCGCCAUCCUUUGUACUUGAAUCAUUAGGUUUACCUUCUUCAUUCACUUCAGCUUUCUCGCCCAUCAGUACAGAAAGACCUUGGAGUUUUGACAUUGCCUUGGCAAGAGGAUCAGGUACACCUCUCAGGUUAUUCAAUACAUCCACAAUGGACUCCUGGUCAUCUGAUGAAUGAUCAUCACUCCAGAAAGACAACUUUCUUACUUUCUUACUGCUGGGGACUUCAUCAUCAUCUGACUGUAUCUUCCUUGCCUUUUUUUCCUUCAGCUUCUUUGCCUCCCUUCUCUUUCUUAAUUCUUUCCUCCAACUAAGAUCAAAGGCAUCACCUUUAACCUUCCUUUCAGGUUGAUGCCUUCUAAUAGGAAACAACAUCUCUGCUCUCUUCCUUUUUUUCUCUUCUUUCUCUAUCUGUUUCUCUCCAGCCUGUUGGUCAUUUUGUUCUUCAAGAUUAAAAUCAAACACGGGAAAAUGUCGGUCUAAUGGUAACAUGUCAUCAUCACUCCCCCCUACUGUAUUUUUACCCUCUUCUAUCUCAUCAUUCUGUGGAGCUGCCUUAUCUUCAUCCUGCUUCCCCAUAUCCACAAUGGACAUCUUCUUUUUACGUUUCUCCACUUUUUCAGAUUCCCCCUUCUUUGAAUUUUUCUUCUUCUUCUUGUUAUCCUUCUCCCCCUCCUCUGAUCUUUUCCUCUUUAUCCCCUUAUCCCCUUCAGAUUUUGGUGGUUGAGGUUCCCUUCUUUUUACCUCAUAAUUAGAAGACAAAGAGCUUUUACUCCUGGUGGUUCUAACUGCUGUCUGUGCUGGUAUAGGCUCUUCCUCCAUCUUCUUAUAAUCAAUAAUUUUGGGUUGUGGGGAAUCACUCACUGUUGUGGCUUGAGGGGGUUUCUGCUUGGGAGGUAUCUUCACCCUCCCAAUAGGUUUGGGGGGAGCACUAACUUUCUUGGUUGGUACAAUGGGUUUCUUGGGUGAAACAUUGGUUUUCUUGGAUGGAAUUGUUUGUUUCCUUGUUGAAACUGUUGGUGAAACUUGGGAUGCAGUACUUGAUCUGGUUGCCCUUUUUGGAGGACUUGGCAAAGGAUUGGUCUUUUUGACUGAUUUGGGUUUGAGAGUUGGCUUUGAGGGGGAACUUAUUUUCUUCUUACUUUUACUUGUCUUCUUUGAUGCCCCCUUACCAAUCUGUGCAAACACACCUUUGACAGCCACAUCAGCAUCACUGAUUUUGUCAGAAACCAUCCCUGCCUCACGACCCUUCAAAAAUAAUGCAAUAAGAUUGUAGAGGAUAAACCCAAUAUUAUAGAAAACAUCAUUCAAAUAUUUAAAGGAUAUAUUAUGUUAACAUUCAAAUUAUAGAGGUUUCAAGGUUUCAACAUUUCAAGGUUUAAAGUUUUUGUAUAUGACUUCAUUCAAAUUCAACAACAUGUAAAGUUUAAAGAGUAUAUUAUGUUAACAAAUUAUAAAGAGUAUACAGAAACAAGGUAACGGAUAGAACUGUAUAACAUAGAGGAAAAUAAUAUCAAUGUAGACGAUAUACCAAAACAUAUUAAUAAUGAUCAACUAGAGGUUUUAGAAUAUAUGUAUUCAAUGUAAUAAGUAAGAAACCUAUAAAGAAGAUAAGUUAUUCAUGGUUUCAGAUAGAAUUUCAAAGUAGUAGUAACAACAUACCAUUUCAAAGACUCCUUUGAGAAUUGCCUCAAGGGCAUUUCUUUCAAGUGUAAUAAAAUUUCCAGAACUUGUUGUUGCAGAUGAGUGCUGAGAUGGACGAACUAAUCUAGAAACUGGCCUAGAAGAAGCAGACUCUUCAUAUUCUGCUUGUGAAAGAGCCUGAAACUGGAAUUAAAAUGUAACGGAUAAGUAUAUAUCGGUAAAGGAAAAAGAAAACAAAGUAGAGGAUAUUGAAAAUACAACAACAUAAAGAUGACUUACUUCUUCAACCACUUGUAAAUUUGCUGCAGCUCUUUCUUGCAGAGUGAUAUCCAGUGGAUAGGCCACAUUAAUGAAUCCUUUCUUGGGGUGAAAUUUCUCAGAAAGUUUGUCCCUUGAUUUGUUCCUAGUGGGCAAAUCAUACCAUCCUAACAUCCUUGGAAAAGGAGAGUUGGGAAUCUUUCUGGGACCAAGAUCUGGGAGAUGCAAAUAUGCCCAAAUAAUGAAUGCAAACACACAUCCAUUGAUACAAUAGUUUUGUACACCAUCAACAAUUUUGGUAUACACAUCUUCUAAAUUGCUCUCAAGCAAUUUGAAUGCAGCAGUACCCCAUGGAAAAUCAUCAAAAUCGACCAAAUUUUCAGCAAGAUCGACAUACCUUACAUCAAUUGUUUUUGAUGAGUCAGCAAGCAGAAAAAUUGCAAGAAAAUACAACCUGUUCAACCUAUUGACAUCAUCUGGAUGAGCAUCUUCGGCUUCUCUUGCUUCCUUAAUUGCAUCAAGGAUAUGAGAAUCUCUGAUGUGUAGGUUAUUCUGGAAGUAUUUCGAUCUGAAAGCACUAUAUUCAGUUUGCUUCCUAACAACAAAAUCAACAGGUAAAUGCCCAAAUUUCAAAGGCCCCAAAAUCAAAGCAAGAUCUGUCAUUUUGAACUCAAUCACUCUACCCCCAAUUGAAUACUUCAAUCGACCAACCCUAUUUGAAACAAUUUCUGUAACUACUGAAGUGAUCAUGGCGAUUUUUUCUUGUCCCUCCAAACUCAAAAACUGCCCAAAAGGGGAAUUUUUAAAAGAUUCUAACUCAUUGGGGGGCAAUCUUUCGUUUGGGUUUAGAUAGUGGGCUUCAAACUUAGAUGGUGAGCAUCUCACAGUGAUGCUAAAUUUUCUGCUGAAUUCAUCGCCUUCAAUCUUUUUCGGCAUGAUUAUGUAGAAAUUAGAAUGGAAGAUGGAAAAUUAGAAGAUGAUUGUGUAGAAAUUAGAAGAUGAUUGUGUAGAAAUGGAAGAUGGGAAAGAAAUUAGAAGAGUUAUGAGCAGUUUAAUGGAAGAAGAAUCGGUUUAAGAAGAAGAGAGAGUGGGUGGUUGUGGAUUCUGAAUCGGUGUGAAAACCCUAGGUUAAGUAUCACUCUACCUGUUCCCGCUCGAUUUCCCGCUCGAUUUUCCCGCCCAAUUAAAACCCAACGGUUAAUGACACGUGGCGCUGAGUGGCUGUUGUUUACUGUAGCAGAUGCUUGUUUAAAAUUACAAAUUGUAGAGGAAAUAACAUCACUUGUGGAGGAUAGGAAUUAGCAAAUUAUAUCCAACGGCUGUAACUUAUUAUCAUGAUCCAAUGGUUGUAAUCUACUGUCAUGUCAUUCUCUCAGAUGUCACAUCUACUGAAAACCUAUUGAAAACCUAUUAAAACAAAUGAUUAUAGGCUAAAGGGUAUAAUAGGAAACAAAAUAUGCUAAAAGACAAAAAUUCAGCAAGUCAAACCGAGAAUUGUGCUUGUUGGGGAAGAUUGCAGUCAAAUGUGCUGAUUUGGGAAGAAACGUUAUAAACCUGUGCUUAUUCGGGAAAUUACCCUAAAUGAAAAUCCAGCUCUUAAAUAAUAAUAUGUUAAAUUACAAUAAAAAUUUUGUUUAAAAAAUAUUAUGUAAAUUUACCAAAAAAAAAACAUGACUAAAAAGGUAUAUCAGAUUUGUGUUACAAAAUUCUAAAACUCAAUUCUUAUCGAUUGGGAAAUACCCCUGAAUUUUAUUCAGCUUUAUAAUAGUGGUAUAGAUUUGAAUUAUGAUGAUGUGCACAUAAAAAAAAUCAUUAAAAAUAGGUUAAUAAUUUAUGAAUGUUUGACACUGAGUUCAAACAAUAUUAUAAUGAUUAAAUUUUUUUUAAUGAUUUUUAAUAUUAAAGAUAAAACCAAUGUUUUCCAUCUUAGACGUUUGGAAGUUUUCUGCUUAUGUAUAUCCUCACUAUAGAUGUACCCAUAGCAGUAAUCUGUCACUUUAAAUCCAAGUUAACAAAUUCUGUAAGUCUAACUGACCCUCUGACAUUUCAUUUCUUAUCCCUGUAUUUCUUGCAGCAUUGUGGCUAUAGGAUUACUUGGUAUUCCUCAUAUUAAGAGAAGUUCUAGUAGGUUUCGGUAGACCUCCAGUACUGUGCAGAAAGGCAGUAUACUCAAUGGGAGGGCUAACGAUCCCAUGUGACGAAGAUUCCUUCAUCGAACUAACUGGUCAGUUGAUUGUAUCAUAAGUCAGAUAAUGGGAAGAUGUUGUAACGACAUGGUUCCAUGGAGGCUGGUCCCUUCAAGCUAAACCAUCCAAUUUUGUGAGAUGCUAGUUAGAGUCGUCAAUCAUUUACAUACUUUUUGUAUAAGAGAUAUGGGAGGCGGAAAAUACAAAUGUCUCCCUUUUACAACAUCAAUGAAUAAUUUAUACAGGGUUCUCUCCCUUUGAUAUUUAUUGAGUUUUUUUGCCCAUUUUUUCAGAAACUUGCAUGAAAUGACCUCUUUUUAUUGAUUCAUUUUGGCAAGUAUUACUUGGUUAGAUGUGAUGUGUACAUUUAUUUUGAAAGUUGGUAAGAUAACAGAUGCAUUGAGCCAUAGUGAUAGUGUUAUGUCACAUUGCAAAAAUCUUUAAAUCCUGGAUACUUGGUGAUGUGUGUUAUUUAGGUAGUACAUAUUCUUGCAUGUUUCUAUGCGAAAAAGCCUAGAUACGGCCCCCUUCGUGACUUCUAAGAUGGUGGAGAUAACCAAUGUGUUCCAUAUCACCACUACAAGACAUUUAGAAGUUUUCUGGUUAUAUAUCCUCACUAUAAAUGUACUGCACAGACAUAGCAAGUCAGUUGCUGAGCACAGAUUGCAACAAUAUGGUCUUAGAUAUUAGAAUUCUUAUGUAAAUGUAUCUUUAUAGUACGUAGACAUGGAAGCAUACAAAUAUGGUUCCAAAUGUUUCACCCUUUCACAAAAUCACUGAAUAGAACUUCAUUUUCCAAAUGUUUCACCCUUUCCAAAAAAAAAAAGUAGUACAAGAGUUUCAGAAAUGUUUGGAGUGAUUGAGAAGUUCACCCAAGACAUUCACAACUCUAAACAAGUACAAAUAGUGAAAAACAGUACAGAGACAAGAAUUGAAUACUCUGGUAGAACUUUAGCUGUAAGUGUUCUGUUAAUAGAAGAAGCAUAUAUAACUACACUGAAGUAAACUUAUUAGUUGACGCUAUAGCUGAUUCCAGUUUGGAAGUAUGUAUCUUUUGUUGAUGAUGUUUUUCUCCACUGUAAACUGGCUUUUCAGAACAUUUGUGGCAACAGGAGUGAACAUUUGUUGCAACAAUUCCUGAUCAAAAUCAUCAGCUAUAGGCCAACAUGUUUAAAGGAAAUUUAACCCGGCACUGCACCUUCACCUUUAACUCUUUCUCCAUUUCUUGCACAUGGCACUCAUCGGUGUAAGGCUUUGGAGUGCUUUUGUGGAGAGACUGGCCAGUGUGGCUAUCUUUUACAUCGAGCAUAUUGUUUCUGGUUGUGUAUUUUUUACUUGUAUGAAAGGCAAUUGUUCGGUCGUUGCCACUGUAUAUUGUUUAUACAGUGCAUCCAUACAACAAUAUACAUUUUCAGCAGUUCUUAUAUAUUGUUGUGUAUAUUCCCCAGACAAGCUUACUCGUCUUUUCAGUAAUUGUAAAUCCAGCUAAGUCAUGCAGUCAUGAUAAGCAUCGAGUCAGUUGUACACUAGUGUAUUUCCCGAAGAACUCUUCUUUACAUCUACAUUGUCAACAUGGUAUCCUUGAUAUGGGCGUUGGGUGUCUUGUAGAAGGCCCCAAAAGACCACGUAAGUCACCAUUCAGCAUCAUUUAUAACCUGGCACUCUUCAGCAACAUAUAUAUUAACAAUGUACUAAGAACCACCCUUGGCCAUUGUACGCCAGCCAUUAUGUUGGGGACUUGAUUUCUCAACACUCAGCACAAUAUAAUGAUACCCAAUAGUUCAUGACCUCAGCGUCGCUUUGAACCAGACUUAAAGUGCAUUUCCCUCAAAAUUUCAAGGGUCACCAAAGACCAACCAUCUUGAGUUUGGGCAAAAAUUUUGUUAUUCAAUGUGUUGAUGUAUACACUUAUGUUACCAAAGCCAUAUUAAAAACCCAAUAUAUAUGCAAUAUAACAAUAAUAAGGCAAACAAUAAAGCAGUAAACAAAUAAAGAACACACGAUAUUUUUAACGUGGUAAAACCCAAUAUGGGUAACGUCCACGGUUGUCCUCGCGACAACAAAUAAAUCCACUAGAUGAAAAGAGAUGUACAAACCUAUCAACUACCUGCAAUCACUGCGAGUUGACACUACCGGUUAUCUCUAACACCUUGACUUCACCAGAGCACCUUGAUGUACGCACAAGACACUCGACUUCUUGAUGAACACACAAGAAGACUCGAAGCCGAUCUAUGUAACAAGCUUACACCAGAGUUCCUUGAUGAACACACAAGGAUACUCGACUUCUUGAUGAACACAUAAGAAGACUCGAAGCUAAAUCACUAUUCAAUAAGGAAGAAGAAGAUGAGUUCAAUCACCAAAACAACCUAAACCAAAACCUAAACAAACUCCAAGACUAGAGAUGAAUUGGACGGCCAAAAACCUGAUUUGUUCUUUGGUAGAAAACCCUAUUUAUAGUUAGGGUUUGAAACAAGAGAAAAUGGGCCGAAAUAGGCAAAACACAUAUUAGACGUACGUACGUCGAAACAAGGUACGUACGUCCCUGAGAUGUAAAAGUUCGCUGCCUACCUGGACGUACGAACGUCCUAACUACGUACGUACGUCCUGACCAAAACAUGUUUGCUGCCUCAAUGGACGUACGUACGUCCUAAUUAGGUACGUACGUCCUGAACCCCAAAACUUGACUUUGACAUACGACUCAAGGACACGGACACAGGACGUCGUGCGUACAACUUGGUUUUUCUAACAAUGAAUUCAAGGCGAGAUAACCGAGAUAACUAAUGUCACAAAAUUAAUGUCAAAUAACCGAGUGUCGGUUUCACAUAUAUCUGGAGGCCAUUAUGUGUUCUACCCGGUUUAGGCUUGAAGAGCAACUCAUUCUCCUGCGCGUACAAUUCAAUGACUUCUUUCAAACUCAUAACAUGUCCAGCAUCCAUAGCAGAUGCUUGCUGUGUUGUGCGCAGCGGAAACUUAUGCACUAAUACCCAAGAUUGAAAUAGUGUACGAAAGAUGACAAAGCAAGUAGUAAAGAAGUAAACCUACUUAGCAGCAACAAAUAAUAGAGAGAGACACCAAAAUAACGUGGUUCGGCUUGAUUGCCUACGUCCAUGGACAAACAAAUAGAACUUUUACUAUUGGAGAAAAUAGUACAAAAUUCUCAAACAAAUGGAGAAACCCUAGGUUUCCUCCUUUCUCAAAUCCUCACCAAAUCUCUCAAAGAAUCACCAAUUGGGGAUACAAACUCUCUCUCACAUUUGGAUGGAGACGAUCACAAGCCCUCACGAAGAAACCAAAGUUUUCUUCCUCACAAAAGUUCUCUCAAAUUCUCUAAUGGCUUCUCACAAUCUCUCUCACAUCAAGAUUGGGUUUUCCAACCUUCUCAUUGGCUUUAUAACAUAGCCUUACAAUCAAACACGAAAUGGGCUUAAACAGGGCCCAUAUAGCACAAAAGCAAAGAAGGACGUACGUACGUCGAACAAACGUUCGUACGUUCAGCAAAAACAAAGUUGUCUGUGAUACGGGACGUACGUACGCCCUAACUACGUACGUACGUUCCUGAAAGAAAAACUUCCCUUCACCAAAAAACCCAACAAUUCUCCACCUCGGCGAAAAUUCAAUAAAUCUAAGCCGACACCAAGAAUAAACCAAGUCCCAAACUCCCACACAUGUCCCGAAGGACCAAAACGGCUGCACCACCUCAUGGUUGCAUGCAUACCCUUCUCCUAAGGGAUCAAACUAUCGUAGUUCACUCCAAUGACAUCUAUACGAUGCCCACCAUACCCCGAAGGGUCAAAUUCCCACAAGGGGCCAAAUCAAAACCAAAUGCCCACCAAUGCCCUAUAGGGCUCACAAACAACUUCAACACAAUGGGGUCCAAGCUACCAAAUACCAUCUCCACCUCAACAAAGUUCUCCAUCGAAGAUGAUCCAAUGCCCCGAUGUCCAUGACAUUACCCAAGAAAACUGAUCUAGUUUUUGAUCUGCAGGGUUCACCUGGAACUCGUGUAGAACAUUUGCUAAUUUUGGUACUAUAUGCCGAACAAGCAAAUGUUCCCAACUGGCUGGAUCGAAAACAGUCUUCCACCAUGUAACUAUAAAAGUUGGAACGAGACCUUCUGACCUAAUUCUUCUUUAUUAGAAACUACUUACCCGUGGACCGUGGUAGUAAUUCCAAUCCGACUGAAACUAAAACUCUCGAAACACAAUCGUUACAUAAAAACCCAACUUUCCCAAACCCAUCUAAAACCUUAUCAAGCAAAUACAAAUUCUUUAAUUGAUUAUCAAUCAAUGGCUGGUAAAGGUGAGUGUUUGAUUGGAGAUCCUACCAGUAAUCAAGUCGCAAUGAACUCUGUCAAAACUAUUUUCGGUAAGUUUAAGCAUUGUGUUGUUUUCUGAUUAUCUGUUUAUAAGCUUGUUUAGAUCUGUAGGAAUAGAGUUUAUGCAUAAUUUGAGGUAUUAAUUUGAAACCUUUACUUUAUUAAUUUGAAAGUCUAUUUGUGCUAUUUUAAUUUAAUUUUGCUACACUUCUUUUGAUUAACCAGUAAAACUCGAAAACUCCUUUCUCUUACAAUUGUAUUGUAUGCACUUAUCAAAUUAUUAAAUUGUGCAAAACCCUAACUUGGAAGAUCCCAGAUAUUCUCAAAUUUUUGUUAAUAUUCUCAAAUUAUGACAUAGAGGAGAGUCUGGGUUUUAUGAAGGUUGGAUAUCCGGCUAUAUCUGGAAUUUUGGACUAUGGAUAUAGCUGAAAGUGAAACAAAUGGAUUUAUUAUUUUGGGAGUUGCAAUAGAACAUUUUCUUUUAAUUUUGAGUGAGAAUUUGUUGAUGUCUAGUGACAGUGAUAACAGAUAACCUUUGGUGGGAUUUCAAUGUCUGUUGUUUUUUAGAUUGAACCUUGGACAUAAAUAUAUCGGUUUAUCUAUGUUCCUGUGUUUUAUCGUUGUCCAUACCUAAAUUGAUCUUUUUGCUUUUGAAACUUUAUAGAAUCAAUUUUUGGGGUCUCAAUGUGUAAAAAAAGUUUAGUUAUUUGUUUUCACUUAAUGUUUACACUUUUUUUUUUUUUUUGCUUCAUACAGCUAGCGAAGAAAAAGAUGAAUACAUUCCAACUAUGUGUAACUAUUGUUGGCAGAAGGCUGACCAUGGUAUAGAUAUGUGCCCCGGCUGGGAUAUGGAGCCAUUACCCUGCCCUGGUUCGAACGCGUUACAAACACGUCCUUGCAGUUUUGAUAAAGAAAGGAAUGCAAUAAGGAAUUCAUUUUGGAUAGGCGACCUCUCCGAGGAAACCAAUUAUUUUGAUGUGCUUGAUAUAAACAACAUUUAUGGUCGUGUGUCAGGAAUAACAAUCAAAACCGACAGGAAAGAUGAUCUGCCCAAAAGAUUUGGUCGUGUGAGCUCUGUAAAUAGUGAUGAUGCAAAGAGAGGUCUCUACAGCGUCCUGGAAAAAGAUUAUAGUGUUGAUUGGUUGGAGGAUGUGAAAGUUAUGAUGUGUCGUAAGCUCAUGCUUAAAUUUGGAAACUUGUAGGUCCUUCAUAUAUUUUAUUUUGUAUAAUUUUGUAUGGAUAUAUUAGCGUUCACUUUAAUCAUGCAAAUAUGGAAAGUAGAUCGUUGAUUCAGGCUGGACUGCUGCGAUGGUACUGAACAUAUGCCAUCUCUAUGGUCUGUUUUCUCCCCACAUAUAUUGCAGGAUGGCCUAAAUUUUGUAGCAUCUCUGACAAUCAUCAAUCGGAAUGAAAAUAACCCAAUGGUGAAUUUGUUGGCAUGAAAUGAUUUCUAUGAGCAUUUGUCCUGUGAGAUCUCUCAGAGUGUUUCUCAAAGGGCUUCAAUAUUUAAGCAUGAUAUUCUCUUCCUGUACACUACAUGCAUGUUGAUCUUUACACAAAAUAUGGCAGAGAUUAUAUGUUUGUCAUAUGGGGCGGAAAAUUGAUCAAUUUAAAUGAGAAAUAUUUAUGACUUCAUCUUUGUUUUCUAGGUAUGGUAAAGGAUUUGUUGUUGCAAUUGCAACAAAUCCUACAUAUAUAAUUGCACUAAUUAGUUCAUGACAUCGAAAAUAUCAGAGUAUCAGACAACCCUAUGUGUAAUCAUUCUUGAGGCUUGCCAGGCUCCCAGCGACCUUUGAAAUCGUCAAGUACUUAGUAUCUAACUAAUAGUCAAAGCUCGAUCUUCACAUUGACAACAAAGAACAAAAAUGAACAUAGACUAACAAGUACCAACUUAAUUAACAUAAGUAGUGAUGAAAAACAAAUCACUUUAUAGCUUAUAACAGUUAGUUGCUAGUACUGAGAGUUCAUGCAUGUUUGUUGUUUUUUCUGUUGAUGAAAAUGUUUGUCCUAUUGGCACUACUACUUUGUUUCCUAUUGGCGAAUGAGCCUGUGGCUCAAUGGUAGCACCUCUCUCACAAAGUGGAGAGGUCGUGGGGUUCGAAACACGUCAACAGUGGAUUGUUGAUAUAAGUUUGCACGCGUAAUUUAAAAAGGGUAAGGGUCCCACAACCUCCAACAAAAAAAAAAAAAAAAAACUGCAUGUUCUAUACAUAGAGCUAGAUGAGAGAGUUUGUACUGGCUUGAUAACGGAUAUGCCUCAUGAAGUUUCACAUGGUUAUGUUUAGCAACUGAUUGGCAACAUUAAUCAAGUGGUCAAUUUGUACCUCUUAUUGCCAAGCCCUAUGGCCUAUCAUUUUUUGUGACAGCUUUUAACAUCCCCACCUGCAGCUUUUAACCUAUUCUUCAUUUUUAGAUAUAAAUGGAGUGAGUGCCAACUCGUGUACUGUCUUCUUCUUGGUAGGACAUGUUGUUGUCAAUUGUUUCAAUAAAACAAUAAAUCAAUGUGACUAGCUACCCUAUACAGAAAUUCAAGAUAGCAGACAAAACCAUGUUAUCCUUCACAAGGGUAUGUCUUUUAACUUACCUCAUGACACUUUCUUGAUCGCCAUUUCCACUCUAUAUAUACACACAUGUAUUAGCUUAGAGUAUUCAUUCAACUCCUAGUAUUUACAUCAUCUCUUGGGCAGCUAUACAAAAUCUUCUCCUCCUUUUUGCUAGUGUUUUAGCAUCCAUGGCAAUUCGAUUACCUGGUAUUCCACAUAUUAAGAGAAGUCUCUGUUCGAAUAAAGAAACCUCAAUUGUUCCAAGAGGACACAUAGCAAUUUAUGUUGGAGAAUGUGAAAAAAAGCGGUUUGUGGUUCCAUUAUCAUACUUGAACCAUCCUUCAUUUCAAGAUUUACUACAACAAUCAGAGGAAGAGUUUGGAUUUAGUCAUCCGAUUGAAGAGAGAAGUGAGGCAUAAAGUUGAGAUCUAGGUCUUCUUGAGAGAGAUUUUUAUUAGGAUUCUGAUCCUUUGAUUGGGGAUCAACCACCAAAACCCUUUGAUUGAAGAUCUUAAACCACCGAAUUUAAUUAAAUUGUCAAAAACUAAGUUCUGCAAUACAUCCAUAGCCUUAUAUAGGCAAAAAUUAAAGACUCCUAAUUACUCUAGAAUUACUAAAAUAACAAAGACAAUAAAUAAAGAACCGACAAUAGUAUGGUUUUCCUAACAUCCCACCCCCUUUAAACCAAGGUUUGUCCUCAAGCCGAAAAAUUUGGAAAACGAACAGAGAACUCAUGACGGUCUUCCCAAGUAGCUUCCUCAUCAGGAUGAUCCUUCCAUUUGAUAAGCCAACGAAUGACAGCACGGUUGUUCUUCCUACAAAUACCACGAUCCAGAAUUUUUUCUGGCACCUAUGGAGAAACAUCGACUAGAGUUGGUAAACUGGUUUCAGGGUUAACAUUAUCACCUAAUUUCAACUUCAAAGCAGAGACAUGGAACACAGGAUGUAUACGACAUCCAUCUGGAAGGCGCAACUUAUAAGCAACAGGACCAAUCUUAGCAAUAAUCUGAAAUGGUCCAUAAAAGCGUGGAGAAAGCUUUGAAUAACUCUGAGAUGCAGCUGUGGAUUGGCGAUAAGGUUGAAGUCUUAGAAAAACCCAGUCAUUUACCACAAAUUCACGCUCCGUACGAUGAGAAUCAGUAUAGAAUUUCAUGCGUGCUUGAGCAGACUGAAGAUGAUCUUUUAAAAGUUUUAAAGUGCGAUCACGAUCUCGUAAAGCAAUAUCAACAGCAUGAACAUCAGUAAUACCUGGAAGAUAACAUGAAACUGAAGGAGGGGGCCUCCUAUAGACAGCUUUGAAAGGUGUCAUCUUAAUGGCCGAGUGAUAAGUGGUGUUGUACCACCAUUUAGCCCAAGGCAGCCAACGAGUCCAAUCAUGAGGUUUUUUGUAACACCCAUGAGUUGGUGUUAGUCCCACAUUACCAAGGAAGUGGUUGUGUUGGUAGUAUAUAGAGCUUAAUCAUACUCUAACUAAUGUCAAGGCCUUUUGGGGUAAACCACAUGGGUGGGCCCUGAUCCAAAACCCUCUACUGCUGGAUAUCCGCAGUGACUAAAGGGGGACAAUAUUGACAUUAGCGAGCGGUAUGGUGCUCGACGCACCGGGAUGAGCGAGGACGAAAUCCCGGGGCGUUACAUUUUUUACCAGAAAAGCAUCGAAGAUAACAUUCCAAAGUGCGAUUAGUAACCUCGGUUUGGCCAUCUGUUUGGGGAUGAUAAGCCGAACUCUGACAUAACUUGAAACCUUGCAUGGUAAGAAAUGUUUGCCAAAAGGUACUAACAAAGAUAGGAUCGCGAUCACAAACAAUCGUACGAGGCAUACCAUGCAAACGGACAAUAUCUCUCACAAAAAAAUCAGCAAUAUUAGUGGCAGUACAUGGAUGAGAUAGGGCGCUAAAGUGUGCAUACUUGGAGACGGUCUACAACGACCAAAAUCGUAGUCUUACGAUUAGAAGAAGGCAUCCCAUCAAUAAAAUCCAUAGAUAAAUCCAACCACACAUCAUCAGGAAUUGGCAAGGGAUUGAGAAGUCCAGGAGGUGAAAUCGUUUCUGCCUUAUUACGUUGACACACAUCACACUGAGCUAUGUAAGUCUUGAUUGUUCCUUUCAUACCAUGCCAAUAAAAAUGUUGUUGUAGACGUUUGUAGGUGCGUAAGAACCUUAAAUGGCCGCCAACUGGAGUGGCAUGAAAUUCAUGCAAUAGUUUAGAGCACCAAGAAGAAGAAGGAACAACCACAAUACAACUCUUGUAACGAAGGAUGUCAUCCUCAUAGGAAUAAUGUUUCUUGCUGGAGGAAGAAGAUUGCAGAUCAUUAAUAAUAGUGCGCAUGGAAACAUCUGAAUGACAUUCCUGUACAAUCUCAUUGAUGCCUGAAAAAAUAGGGAAGAAAUAGCAAGAAUACUCGAAGGCUCAGAAACACGAGAUAAGGCAUCAGCAGCUUGGUUAGAAGAACCAGGACGGUAUAUAGUUUCAUAAUCAUACCCCAAUAACUUAGAUGACCAUUUUUGUUGUUCAAUGGAAGAAAUCCGUUGUUCCAAAAAAUACUUAAGACUCCGAUGGUCGGUGUAAAUUUUAAAGUGGCGACCAAGUAGGUAAGGAUGCCAUUUUUGAACCGCGGAAACAAUAGCAAGCAUUUCCUUAUCAUAAACAGAAAGAUUCAGAUUGUUACUGGAUAAAGCUUUGCUAAAAUAAGCAAUUGGGCGCCCAUCUUGUAUAAGAACAACACCUAUGCCAUGACCAGAAGCAUCACUCUUAAUGGAGAAUUCUUUUGUGAAAUCAGGAAGAGCUAGGACAGGAGUACUAGACAAAGCAGUCUUUAACUUAGAAAAAGCAACAGUAGCAUCCUCAUUCCAUAUGAACGAAUUCUUCUUUAAUAAUCGAGUCAAAGGAGAUGUGAGCUUACCAUAAUCCUUGACAAAUUUGCGAUAAUACCCAGUCAAUCCUAAGAAUCCACGCAAAACUUUAAUUGAUGAUGGAAGAGGCCAUCCAAUAGCACUAGAAAUUUUGUCAGUAUCAACUGCCACACCAUUACCAGAAAUAACAUGACCCAAAUAACCAAUGGAAGACUGAGCAAAUGAACAUUUGGAUUUCUUCACAAACAACUGAUUAGUGCGCAAAAUACCAAGAACAAUAGACAAGUGACGGAGAUGGUCAGAUAAGGAAACACUAUACACCAAUAUAUCAUCAAAGAAGACAAGCACGAAUUUGCGCAAAUAAGGACGAAAAAAGAUCAUCGUCAAACUCUGAAAAGUAGCAGGAGCAUUAGAGAGACCAAAAGGCAUAACUAAAAAUUCAAAGUGGCCUUUUUUUAAUAAUGGCCCUUUUUUAAAAAUUCAUGCGAGUGAGUGCUCUUUGUAUCACCCUUUUUUCUUCAUAGUGAAACUUUAUCAUCUUGCCCCGUAGACGUAGGCUUACGCCGAACUACGUUAAAUCUUGUGUUGUGAGUACUUAAAUUUCUUUUAUCGUGUUUUACUUUCUAGUUACAUAUACUUGAUUGUUAUUCUAGUAGUUAGUUCUUCAUAUUAUUGUCUACAAGUUAGUUUCUUCAAGGUAUUAUCUUGAACAAAGGUUACACCUUAAUUGGUGUAAAUCACGUUGUGAACAAAUCGCUUCCGCAUUAUUGGCGUGAUUCCCAACACAAGGUACUUCCUAAUAAUGACGUCAAUGCGAGAUAACCUUGGACACUCCUAACUUAGUCACAAAAUGAUGUCAAACAGAAUACCGUUUCAAUUUCUGCAUGUUUAGAGAAGUCUUCAUAGGUUUGGAGAGAUCUCUCAUCUUCAGUACGCCCUAAGGCCACAUGCCCACAUAGCAGUGUAUGUCAGAGAGAAACGAAAGAAGCAAUUUGGUGUUCCAAUAUCAACCUUAAACUAUAUCGUUUCAAGAAGACUGGUUAAAUCAAGCCGAAGAAGCUUGAGUAUGGCUUUAGUCACCCAAUGGGAGGCCUCACAAUCCCAUGUGGCCGGUGAAGACUCCUUCGUUGAAAUACCUGGUCAGUUGAAUCAUUGCAAGUCAGUUGCUGAGCACAGAUUGCAACAAUAUGGUCUUAGAUAUUAGAAUUCUUAUGUAAAUGUAUCUUUAUAGUACGUAGACAUGGAAGCAUACAAAUAUGGUUCCAAAUGUUUCACCCUUUCACAAAAUCACUGAAUAGAACUUCAUUUUCCAAAUGUUUCACCCUUUCCAAAAAAAAAAAGUAGUACAAGAGUUUCAGAAAUGUUUGGAGUGAUUGAGAAGUUCACCCAAGACAUUCACAACUUUAAACAAGUACACAUAGCGAAAAACAGUACAGAGACAAGAACUGAGUAAUCUGGUAGAAGUAGGAUGUCCCAGUGCAUCAGCAGAUCACCAAAUCGAAGAGUACAUGCACAUAAAUAUGAAUCGCUAAUUUUAACUUUAGCUAUAAGUGUUCUGUUAAUAGAAGAAGCAUAUAUAACUACACUGAAGUAAACUUAUUAGUUGACGCUAUAGCUGAUUCCAGUUUGGAAGUAUGUAUCUUUUGUUGAUGAUGUUUUUCUCCACUGUAAACUGGCUUUUCAGAACAUUUGUGGCAACAGGAGUGAACAUUUGUGGCAACAAUUCCUGAUCAAAAUCAUCAGCUAUAGGCCAACAUAUUGAAAGAAAAUUUAACCCGUCACUGCAUUCCUUCACCUUUAACUCUUUCUCUAUUUCUUGCACAUGGCACUCAUCGGUGUAAGGCUCUGGAGUUCUUUUGUGGAGAGACUUGCCAGUGUGGCUAUCUUUUACAUCGAGCAUAUUGUUUCUGGUUGUGUAUUUUUUACUUGUACGGAAGGCAAUUGUUCCCACUGCUCUUCAAGUAUAUUGGAAGUGCAUAUACGCAGCACGUGCAUCCACUGGUUUCCAUGAGCCAAUGGAAAUCAUUGACUGCCAUUCUCUGCUAAUUGCUGAAGGCAAGACCAAUUGCAGUUCCUCAGAUAGUCCUCCAAUAAGUUUUCCACAACAUGUUGAUAAUGCAAAUCAGAAUUGGAAAAUUUCUCGUCACAGGAACAGCAUAUCCAAAAUUUCCAAUUAUUAUGAUCCUUAGAAAAGCAUAUAGCUUCUGAUAUAACCACCUUUGCGUAAUAACGUUUUGGUGAAUGAAUGAGCCAAGAGAUCAUGAAAAUCCAUUUUUCUCAUCAACACUGAUUAAGUUCCAAAGAAGACGCACCUUCAGAUUCUUACCUUUGCCACCUUCAUCAGGCUGUACUAGGGGUGUCUCCAUAUUCUCCUGGAGUGAUUCAGAAUUCUGUUGGACUGCCUGUUCUAUCCUUGUAGCAACCACAUCGAUCUGCCUCGAUCUUCUUCCUUGGCUCUUCAAGGGCUAAAUUUGCAUAGAUUGUCCAUCUUCAUUAUGGUCGAUCUAGAAUAGCCAGGUAUCUCUUAUUCUGGCAAAUCUCCUCUUUCUCCUUUUGUGAAAUCUGUUCCUUAGAUUAUUUAUAUGCAAAAAUAUUUAUGCAUUCAUCAACAAGUAUACGAAUGUAUUUCUGAUUUUCUGCAAUUCUGGCUUCAAGAGUUGGAAAACUAUCAGUUAUUUGUCCCAUCUAUCUUUAGCUGGAUCAAUUGGGGUUAUAACGGCGACUAAUCUCUGGCCUUCUUGAACAACUCUUUCAUAAAAAUCACACUCAAAGAGUAAUCUUGCACUACUCAAUUGAAUUUGGUGAGAGUUGAACAGCCUUUUCAGCUGAAUCCAAUGCCUGUCAAUAAGCAUUUUUUUCUCUUAAUGCAAAGUCAUAAUUGUCAGAAAGAGCCAUCAUACAAAUAUCACUAUGGACUCCAUGGAGUAAAGCUGAGUUCUUGUUGGGACGACACACUUCUUCAAUGAUUUUCAAUGCUUUUGUAUGAUUCCACUAUGAAAUACACCAUCAGCUCUAUUGCAUUAUUGGUGGCCUGGGUGCAUUGGAUGUUUCUGAUGAAUUGGAUGGAUGAACUUUCCUGGUUUUUUUCUUCCACAUUGUGUUGUUUUCAACGAGUUACUUAGAGAGAAACGGCAAGAAGAAGGAGAACUGUGAGUGAAGGUGUUGAGGUUCUUGAAUGCUUUUGUUGGGAAAGCAAAGUUGUUAUUAAGACGGGUAAAACGAUUAUUUUGAAAUUCACUGUUUGAGGAAUUUCAUCAAACAUGUUGGACUCAAUAAACUUCAACCUUCUCCUGCAUUUUUAUAUUAGUUCCUAAACAAACAGCCCGCUCGGCUUACCGAUAUUGGGGUAUUGGACUAUUGGCAAGGCAUAUCAAAGAAUCCUUUUUAAAGAUACAAACAUCCCAUUAUGUUCACAUGGAUGGAUUAAAUUACACAUGAGCACCACCUUCCUUAUGCUAGCUUGCCAAGUAAAAAAAUAAAAAUAAAAAUUUGCAGAACUCUAGGUCUAGUGAUCAGUCAUACAAAGAUGGAUGUGGAAGUUGAAGCUGUUAAACAACUUUUCUUUUCUUUUCUUUUCUUUUUAUUGGCAAGCCUGUUUUUAACGAGAUCAGUAACUCAAAGAUGCACUGCCUGAGAUCGAACCCCAGACCUUUGAUCAAGUAGAGAAUUUUAAUAGGUUUGACAAAGUGUAGAAUUUCAAUUUUUUUCAGAUACAUAAAACAAGAACUAAAACACCAUGGGAACUGGGAAGUGAUUGUACUACAGCUGACAGGCCAAGACCUCCAGAUCAACUACCACAAGCCUUGGCCACAAUAUUUUUCUGUCAAGCAUUUCUUUAAACAAUAAUGGCUAUAUCAAUGCAUACACACUUAACGUAUGUUGCAACAGACAGACAGAGGGUGCAACACCGACGUUUAACCCUCUGUAUGCUUGGAAAAGGCAGUUUACAUAUAUUAUAAGAAAACCACAAACCAUAUGAAUUCACGAUUAUACAGUAGUAAAAUGCAUGACAUUUUAUUUCAAAAGGCUCGCAAUCUAUUUAUAACUUGUACGCAGUAUUAUUAUGAGAAACAUUAGUCACUGUCUAUUGUAACAGCAUGACACAGUAGAUCCAACUAAGCUGUAUGGUUAAUGAGGCUUUUCAUUAGCAACUAUCAAUGUGUAAACUUUGUUAAAGAUCUAGAUUACCAGCUUCAGGCUCGGACUCUUUAUCACCUGAAUACAUAACAGCUCUUUCAGAUAACGUACUGAUGGAUCAUUCUCAUAUUGCCUUGUGCUUUUCCAGCUUCUCUUCAAGCUCUCUUGCCAACGUACUAUUCAUCGCGUAUCAAGCCCUCGUCAGACAAUGUACAUGUAUUCUCCAAUAUAUGACUACGCAAGGCUGAGGCAACAUCAAGUAAACUGCAGCAUGAGCACAAACAACUACAUUAUAAAAAGAGACUACCAGUGGCAAUUCAGUAUCAUAUCAGAGCGAGUAUGUGCCUCAUAUGAGGUGGGGAGACACGAAACACAUACAGUUCUACUUCACUCCCAUGUUCGAGUGGAAUCUUCUCCGUUAAGUAACAAAAAUAAAUUAACUACACCUGAUAAAAGUAGGAAGCCAGGAAGAAAAUAGAUUAAAAGUUCAAACCUUUAUAUCCUUUGUGUUUAUUAAUACCUUGUUCAUCCGAUUAUCUGAUUUCAUCUGUGGUUGAUUCCCUUCUUUAUUGACACUCUUCUCAACAUCAGGUGAAAUUUGAGCUACAUUCUUUGCACCGUCAGAAUUUUCUGCCACUUCUUUGCCAGAAAGUUCCUCCAUUUUUGCCUUCGACAUAAACAAGCACCCCAGACAAACUAAGUUAAUACUAAGAAUGGUAAGUCAAAUGAUAAAACAAAAAUUUAUUUAACAGUUGACAGAAUCACACCAGAAUGUAUGACUUCACAAGAGGCACAAGAAUUGUCUGAUAAUCACCAGCAGCAAAAGGGUUAAUCCUACUAUCCAAUUUGUCCCUUUCCCUUAGAGUGCGCAUGAUCAAUGUAUCAAUUUUCAUGAGCUGCAGAACAAGAGUAUAAGAUUAAUGUUACACCAUGGGCGUAUAUUAUCUUUCUUGACUAAUCAAUGUAAUAAUACCGCACCUUUAAAUCUAUAUUUUUACCGAAAUUUUUAAUUUCUUCUUUUAUGCAAGUGUCAGCACUAUUGAGGUAGCUCUGCAUUAUCAGAUCACCAUCUUCAAAAGUCUCCACACCACAAACAUCAGUUGCCACAGCAGUCAAAGUUGGCUCACAUAUGAAGUCUAUUGAUUGUACUUUGUUCAGAACAUUUCGUAUGAUAUCCAACAAGGAAUUAUUUAGCUUGGAAACAUUGUUCUGUUUCUCAAGUUCAAUAGACUCUUCAAGCUUCUUCUGAAGGAUUGUUGCAAAACUUCGGGAUGAAUGUUUGGUGCUGAACUUCCUUUCCUUAAGUUCACUAAACAAAAGAGCCCAAAUAGCCUGUAAAGUUUCCUUGUAAUUCAACUGGUUACAUUUUUCCUCACACAAGUUUGUCAAGGUGUGACAAUUCUUCUCAAGAAUCUGAUUAAGCUUUUUUCCGCGAUCUUUUCUUAAUUUCUCGCAAUCUGACCAUACUUUCAGUUCUUCCCCAUUUGACGGACCUGUAUAGAUCCACCUCAAUAUAUCGUCAGAACUGAGUGAUCCCAUAUCUCUUUUAUCCCUAUCAGAAACGAAAGUUGUUGAAGCAUGGACAUCAGUAUAUACUUCUGAAGUACUUUUUCCACAAAGUGAAUGCUCGUCGACAAGGAUUGAGUCACCAUUAAGAAUGAUCCUCUCGUUAGUAUCAUGUUUCAAGAUGCUACUAUGGAGAAGUUUAUCAAUCUCACUUUUGUUUCCCGUGUUUUCCUCAUUAAGAAAUUUAGUUAAUUCACGUAAAAAAAGGAUGAUUUGUCGAAGUUUUGAUGCAUCUAAGAAACAUAUGCAGAUAUGGGUUUGGUCUAAGCCAAGUUUCGAAAUACUUAGACCAGGAAAUAGACCCUGUAAUAUCUUCAUAGUGUAGUGAACCACCUUAUACACAUGAUCAGCAGCAAGAGCCCCAGUUUUCAGUAGAUAUUGUAGUGUCAUGCAGGUUCUCAUAAGAAAUUUUGAGCGAUCAGAAUCCUUGGAUACAGGCAAACAUAGUUUCUCUCUGCAAUCCUUCCACUCAGACUCUUCCUCUAUUUGUUCAUCGGUGGAAGGCUCUGGAGUGCUUUUGUGGUAAGACUCUCCAGUGUGCUUAACAUUUUUGUUGAGCUCUAUGAGUAUGGGAAGUGCAGCAGAUGCAUCCACUGGUAUCCAUGGGCAAUUGGAAAUCAUUAACUGCCAUUCUCUGCUAACUGCUGAAGGCAAGACCAAUUGCAGUUCCUCUGAUAGUCUUCCAAUAUGCUUUUCCACAACAUGUUGAUAAUGCAAAUCAGAAUCCAAGAAUUUUAUGCCACAGGAACAGCAUAUCCAAAAUUUCCAACUACUAUUAUGAUCCUUAGCAAAGCGUAUAGCUUCUGAUAUAACAACCUUUGCAGAAUAACCUUUUGAUGAAUGAAGAUAGGACAAAAGAUCACAAAUAUUCAAUUUAAGUAUAUUAUACUUGUCAUCAACACUGAUUGAGUUCCAAAGAAUACGCACAUUUUCAACCUUUUCCACUAUAUUCUUCAGACUCUUAUUUUUCACAUCGUCAUAAGGUUGUACUAGGGGUGAAUUCUCCUGGAGUGAUUCAGGAUUCUGUUGAACUGGCUGUCUUAUCCUGGCAGUAGCCACAACUAAUGGUCCACUUAUAUUCUCUGCACCAACGUUAAUUACCCAGGCAGGUUCUCCACAAAAUUGAGGUUCUAGUUUACAAGCAGCGAUAACCGCACCCGUACAUUCAACCACCGCCCUUUCAUAGGAGAAGGACCUAUUUGUGGUUGGAAAUGUAAAAUGAAUACCUUGAGUAAGAACUCCCAUUCCUGACCCUUCAAUGAGAAAAUUGACUUCACUGACAUCGGUUUCACAAUUAUCAACGCGAAAGAUUUUCGCAACCUUAUGUGUAAAACCAUAAAUAACCGAUUUCUCUAGAAGAUAUCCACAAACAACUACUACCAACGGAGCAUCUUUGAACUCCUCCAAAGCAUUGCUAACAUCGAAGCACUCGCGUACGGAAUAUGCAACUAGCUCCGCAUUCAAAGGAGAUUUGCCAAUCUCUUUUCUUUCCCUGUUUGUGUUCUUUAGACAAUCCAAAAUCAACUCAUAACGCCGAACCCGACCCGAAAACAAUAACAAUACGUUUCCUUCUAAGAUAUCCAUUUUCAUCCUAUUGGGAAUUGGACUACUAGGAUCUAACAUAUUUAUGAGCUUUGAGUCUGAUGCACAAAUAAUACCCCCAUCACUAUGUUUCAUAGCAGCUAUAAUAGUAUGACAGUGUGAAUUUGAAAAAUGCUCGAAUUUUUUUUCUUUCUUCACUAAAUGCUUCAGAUUCUUACCUUUGCUAUCUUGAAGAGGUUGUACUAGGGGUGUCCCCAAAUUCUCCUGGAGCGAUACAGAACUCUUUAGAACUUCCUGUACUAACUUUGUUUUCGCAUUUGGGGUCUCUAAACCAGCCAGGGAUCUCAUAAUCUCAAAUUUCUUGUGAAUCUCCUUUUCCUCCUUUUCUGAAAUCUGAUCCUCAAGAAUGGUUGUACAUUCCUAUCUAUCUUUAGAAGAAUAGAUUGGGUUUUGAACUACGAGUGCUCUCUGGCCUUCUUGAAUAACUCUUCCACCAUAAUCAAUUUCAGCUAAUUCCAUAGUGAUAUCUGUUUGCUCGAAACUUUGGUUUUCCGCUUGUUUCAGUGCCUUAACCUUCGUCUGGUUUCCAUUGACAUAAGUAGAAUCAGCUCGUCUGCAUCCUUCCAAGAAUGCCUUUGAUUGAUUUACUUUUCUAUUUGUUUUCCUCCCCAUUGUUGUUUUCAGAGAAAUCAAGAAGAAGAGAAGAAAGAAGAACUGUGGAAGAGAAAGUUGUUAUAUUCUUCUUGAUGGCAGUUAAAACGGUUAGUGGAAAGUGUCUGCUUAUGUCAUCAUCAUCAUCAUCAUCACCAUCUCCUUAUUGACACGUCAGACAGCUAUGGCAGUGUAAAACCGAACACAAAGGAUGAAGGCAUGUCAAGUAGCUUGUUUGAGGAAUUUCAUCAAACAUAUUGGACUCAAACAAAAAACUACACCCAUGACCCACCGACCCCAAACAAGGAUGAUGAUGAUAUCUCAUUAUCUCAUAUCUAUCGUUGAAUCUUUUCAUCGGAAAAGAUUUGGUUGGGUGGUUUGGUUUCCAUUUCCAGUUCCAGUUCCAGUUCCAGUUGAUGAAAACAUAACAUGCUCUUUCUGAAAUUUCGUCAAACAUGUUGUUGGACUCAAAUAAAAAAAAAAAUGAUUUGGUUGGGUGGAUUGAAUGAUUUGGUUUGGUUUAGGUGGUUUGGUUUCCACUUGAUUAACACAUGCAAUGCAAUUCAGCAUCUUCUCUUCUCUUCUCUUCUCUUUUGAUCGUGUUUUGCUCGAGUGCUGCUUUGACGAUUUGAAUUUCUUCUCUUCAGCAUCUUUAAUCUUUAUCGUUGGAAACUUGGAAUAAUGCAUAUAUGGGCUUAAAAGAAAAAGAUGGGCUUAAUUGAAAAGCACAUUUUAACAAUAGCUCUUUUCUGAAAGAUCCAUCACAGUUUUCUUUUCUGUAGUAAAAUUGCCUGACAGUUGUUAAAAUGGUUGUUGCUAACUUGCUACUUUUACAUACACUAGCAGGAGCGUCCGUGCUCCGCACGAGCAGGAACCGCAAAACUUUCAUAAACUUCUGCGUAAUUUUUUAUUUUUUAUUUUUUUUUUAUAAAAGUGAGUAAGUGACUGCGACACAUAUAAAUUUAAGAAUUUUUUAUCUAAUAUGUACAAUAAAAAAAAAUUCGCAAAAUGAAUAUGACAAUAGAUGUAUUUUGUAUUUUGUGGUCUGAAUGUGUUAUCAGUUCUGUUUGAGUCAAACAAUGUUGUAAAGGCAUUUAUGAGGGUUCAGGUCUUAAGAUGUAUCCUCUUAGUUCCUGAACUCUUGUUUUAUAAUCCUUCCAUGAUGAGUUAAAAGUUAAAACACUUGUUUGAGUGAGUUAUUGCGUAAGGAUCACAUAUACUGAAAAAAUUGAGCCAAAGAAUUAAAAAUGGUUUGUGAAAGAGAAAAUGUUGUAAGUUGAAUGAAAGAUCUGUGAUAAUAUAUCUUAUGAACAGUAGUGUUACACACAGACCGAAUUAGUGGGUUGAUUUGUGAUUUGGAAAGGAACUUUUUUUGUUAUUUAUGAAUACGCAUAGAUAUGAGCUUUGGAUGAGCUGAACAAAGUAAUUAUGUUACUCUGUCAGUUUUAACCUUUUUUUUUAUUGGCAAACAAGGUUGAAGGGACCCUUUUAAAUUACAUUGUGAAAACUUAUACCAACAAUUAGUUGUUGAUGUGUUUCGAACUCACAACUUCUCCACUUUUGUGAGAGGAGUGCUUCCAUUGAGCCACAGGCCCAUUCACAAUCAGUUUUAACCAUUGAAUGCAACAUAAUUAUGUUCAAAGUUGAUAACAUUGAAUCAACUCCCUUGGCUCCUCCUUCACCAUGGAAAAUGAACAAGUCAUUUCCUCCAACUUGAUCUUCUUCUUCGCCUUAAAAUCGAGAAUCAACUUCUCUACCCCUUUACAACACUUACAUGUGAUGAGUUAUCCGAAAUGUAUCUUGUGGUGAACCAUUUCUAUUUGUAGAAUCACCCUUAUUAGGUAUGAGUAUAUACGAAUGCUAAGUAGGUUAAACGACCUAAUGUUAUGUGGAUGGAAUUGCAAGAAAUGAAAGUGGAUUGAAAUAUGGAACAUGAAGAAAAUAAAUCGGGAAUAUUUAUAUAUUAUUAUUUUAUAGAUUCAUUAUUAUCUUAUUUUCAUCAAAUUUCCAAUACAAAUUUGUUGAUAUUGCAUUAUUUUAUAUAAGUAAUAAGACUAUAAGAACAAAUGUGUAAAUGCACGAAAAAAUUUCGGAACAUAUAUCUUGAUUUUUAUUUGGGUUUGGAUGCAUAAAUCAAAAGGGCUUGUAGGAAAUUGUCUGAUUUUUUUUUUUAAUAAAAUAAGGGGGUUUGGCAUGGACCCCCUACUUGUAGAUAAAUCAGAUUUAGGCCGAGGCCUGGAAUAAGACCCGAUGGGUUGGGUUAGAACAAAGCUACAGAGAUAAAUCUAAAAAAACCCUUUGGGCUGGUAAGGCAUAGCACCAAGAUCAGAGAAGGAUUGACUUUGUUUGUUUGAAGUAGUCUUGGAAGUUGUAGCGCGCAGCAAAAAUCAACUCAAUCCUUCAAAAACCAUAAUGACACUUCGUUUGUAGAGCUAGAAGACCAUUUCAUGUAGCAACCAAGAAAAAGAGUGCAACCAUCCAUGGCAGCCCCAAGCGGAGAGAAGAUGAAGAGCGUUAAGAUUGAGCCGGAGGAAGAGGCUCCGGAGGUAAUGGUCAUGUGUAUAGGUGAGACUUUGUGCAAGGAACACUGGAAAAAAAUAGUGGAGCUGGUGCAAGAGAGCAAGAAAGAUUGCCCUGCAUGUAAGGCUUGUAAAGGAGUGGAGAGGUUGAUUCCUGAUGUGAAGAAAGAGAUCAAAUUGGAGGAGAUCGCUGGGUCAUCAUCGAAGGUGAAGGAGGAGCCAAGGGAGCUGAUUCUCCCUAAGGUGGAGCCUAAGGAAGAACCAACUAUUCCUAAAGCUGAUCUUAUGAUUGGAGAGCCAGAAAUCCUUCCAAUACCUAUUGAAGAAGAGGAGGAGCAUGAUCCUGAUGCGCCUUUGUUUGGUGGAGAUGUUGAAGUUGCAGGUGAACAAACCCUAAUCUGCAAAACCAAAAAUUGAGAUCAAUUUUUUUAAAAAUGUUUAUCCAGGGAAUAGUUGAUAAUGAAUUAGUUUAUUCUUCCCUAAAUGGCAGAUGAUGUUGAUGAUGUUGCUGAAGAGGAUGAAGAUGAAGAUGAGGAUGAGAUGGAAGCAGAUGAUGAGAUGGAGGACUCUUCAGAAUUUUCCUCUUCUACCACCACUGGAGCAGAUAACAAUGAAAUGGAUAUGGAUGGGCCUGAUUCCGAGGAGGAGUACAAGACUCCUUCUGAUGAUGAGUGGGAGGAGGAAGAACAGGAGUAUGAACCCACUGACUCUAAUGCAGAAGAAGACUGAUAAUCAGGCAAGGAAAUUACUUAGUUAAAAAUGUAGAUUAUUAUCAAUUAAGACUAUCAAACAAUGAUCUGUAUGUAAAUGAAAUGAAAAUCUAGAUGAAUGUUAUCUAUUUACUUGAAUCUAUUGUCUAUUAUCUGAGGAAAUUGAAAAUAGGAAUGCCAUAAUAGAAAGACUUAGGAUAAAUAGAUGCAGCUAAGUAAGAUAAGGACUUAGAGGACUUCCCUGCUAGAGACUAAGUGUGGAUUCUUAGAUAAGGAAUUUGCAUCCUGUGUCCAUAUAGAAUUUGCUUGAGUUCUGAGUGAGAGGAGACAAAUGCAGUUCCAUCAGCUUUAAGGUGCAAUCCUAUGCUUGCAAGAGAAUCUGCAGCCCUGUUACUUUCCCUGUAUGUGUGAUGGCACUAAUACUUAGGUGUCAAGGCACUGAUAUAGACUUGAUGAACCAUUUGCCUGAUUAAGUUAGUAAUUUAGUAUGAGGUAAAGAUUUUGUGUUACGUUAUUUGUAUUAUGUGUUUUUUUUUUAGUUUCGCAUUGUGUACGGGAACUCUGUAGAAAAACCAUGGGAGCGAAUCAACCUUCCUCAUCCGGUGAUAGUUGUUUCGUUGAAGAUAUUGAUUACUAUGAUCGUUUUUAUAGUGCAUUUGAUCAUUUCUAUGGGCCGCAAAUAUUUUAAUAAAUUUGAUGGUCCGUAUAAUGUUAAAGAACUAACGAUCUGGUAAAAUGAAGCAAAUGUGAAGGUUACAAAAGAAGUGGACAAUGUGUGUUCUCGGAGCAUCCAGAUUCAAUAGAUAGCAGUAGUGUCUGUGUUAUAUACGGCUUGGGAAGUUGAAUAGAGAUAUAGAAUAAUUUGAAUAGACAUUAGUUUGUAAAGAUUAUAAUCGCUUUGCAAGAUAUCCAAUAAAAAAAAAACACAAAACUGAAACAUAAAGAACAACAAUGGAAUACUCUGCAAUGAAUUAUUUUUGUACAAAUAAUAUUGUGUAUCAUACAUAUUGUUUGAAAAGAUUGUGUACAUACUUUCUUAAAAAAAUUGUGUAUCAUAUAUAUUAGUAGGUUGUACAUAUCCGAUGUUUGAGAAGCAGUAAGACACACUACACUUUCUCUUCCAAAAACUCUCUUUCUUCUUGAAGGGUUUAGUUGUGUGAUGCCGACUCAUUAUAUCCCUUUCCUUUUCAAAUGCAGUGUGUAGAUCAUCUUCUACUCAAUCUUUCAUACACAACCAUUGACAGUCAUUAGAGUUGUUCUCUGUCUUAACAACAAUCAACCGACCGUUCUGCAUUGCUAUACCAAAGGAAUGAUCAUAUUCCUAAGAUACUAAAUCACUUUAAUACAAAAAAAAUUCAGUACGUUCAAACUAUCAAAAUUAUUCUAAAACCUUUCGAGUUGAGAAUUCCAUAACUCUGUAGCUUUCAUAAAAUAUCUACUAUUGUCUAUUUGAAAAAAAGAAAAUACAUCAAAAUUCCUACAGAAUAGCUUACUUUUGUUGGGUCCAAUAAGUAUACUUGCAUAAAUUAUCUAUAAGUAUCGUGCGCGUCUACAUCCCAUCUUAGACAGAUCAAAAAUUUUGAAUGCAAAGAUCGAGAUUCAGCAACCGUCAUGGACGGCAAACAGAAAAUGCAGCUUAACGAUAUACCAAUCAAUGUAUGUUUAAUUUAAAUUGUUUUGAUUCAAAUUUCUCCAAACAAAAAAAUAUUCAUAAUCUAUUAGAAACAAAGACAACAAAUAAAUAAAAGAGAGAGAAUGAAUUAGGGUUUUUGAUGUACCAGUUGUGAUGUAAUCUAAAUCAAGUUGCCAUAUUCGAUCUUUGAUCGUUGAUGAAAUUGUUGUGCCGCAAUCGAUCAAUAAACCUGGAAUGAAGAUAGAAUUCGAAUAAUUAAAGUCUAAUUUCUAAAAAUUAGAUCGAAGAAAGGAUGUGGUGAAGGUUGUUAAGAGACCGAAGAAAAGAUGAAAGAGAAGAAGAGGAAGAAAGAGAGAGAUGCUAUGUGAAUUGAAUUGAAUUGAAGAAGAAAGAAGACUAUUCUAUAACAUAGUUUUUGCAGUGAUACUGACCUGCCAAAUGGAUACUUUCCCAUAUUCAUGCCAAACAUUUCCUCUUGCAUUACGACCAGAUUUUUCUGAACCAAGCUCCUUAUAUUCAAACUCAUCAACAACAUCCCAAAAUUUUUCUUCCCAUUCAAUGUUUUUGUGUGCAUUGAUUCCCCUAGUUAGUGUCCACCGGCAGACAACACCAUUGGGUCGUGUCAAAACACCUGUCUCUUUCCAUCAUUGCAAACCAUUGGGUUUUACUCCUUAGAAGAUGCUUCCUCAACUGCAAGAGGAGCCUCAGAUGUUUCUUAGUCAUUUACUGAAAAUUUCAUGCCAAGUUCUUGUUUCUCAUCCACAGAAUGAAGUGAUCUGAUUUAGAAUCCGCAAGGUCCAAGUUUUCUACCUGCAUGAUUGAUUGAAGAUGUGAAAGUGGAAGAUUGUGGCUUUCAACUGAGCUGUUUUCAAAUGAAAGUGUCAAAAAAUCAAGGAAAAAUUCUUUUUUCUGACAUCUGGGAGUUAUUCUUUGAACUAAUGUUGUCAUCCCGAGGAGGCGUCCAAGAGCAGAAAUCUGGAUCUGGUGUACCACUUUGCAAGCUAUCUGACUGACAUCUAAAUCCAUCCUCUCCCUGGGUCCCUCAUCAAGUAAGAUAGAACACAAAAUAAAGUUAAUAAACAAAUUAAUUUGUAUUGAAUAAAACAUGACUAAUAUUUGGCUUAACAAUUAUCCUCGUCAAAUAGCCAAGGACAAAAUAAUACCACAAAAAAAUCCAUAUAGAUUCAGAUGUAAUCAAUCUUCAAGUCUCUACUAAAGAGUCUAACCACAUGCUCUGACUUGCUUUCCUUCAAUUCUAUGUUUCUUAUGUAAAAAAAAAAAAUCGCAUCAUGGCAGGGAAGUACAAUCUUCUUAUGAUUUUUUACUAAAAUCAAAGUUUUGAGACAUCAAUUUAAUUCAUGAAACUAUGGAAAUUAGAGGCAGCAAAAAUGUCGGUUCUUUUUCUUCCUACAAUGGAAAGGAACAAAAGCAUAUAAUUAUGAAGAUGCGAAAAAGUGAGAUUCAAUUUUACAAAAUUUAAAGAACACCUAUCAUAGUUUUUUGUUUUUUGUGUAAGGAUGCAAGAAAGAAAUUAAGAACAAAGUAUAAACAAAAGAGGUUAACCCAAAAAAUGUUCACCAAUAUGAAAAUUGCAAAGACAAUGACAGGAAGUCCAAAAAAAAAUAGUUUCUGAUUUUUCUUCUCCUGAACUUUCUGUUUAGUUUGAACGUUAUUUACAUAGUCCCAUCACGCCUCUUUGAAGUGGGAGCAUUAUAAUAGCCGUACUCCACUUGCGGACAUGGGAAAAUUCAAAACAAAUCUGUAAUCGAAGGCUUGCUUACCUUUUCCAUAAAAAUGAGUAGUCCGCUCCCUCAUGCCUAUAUACUUUGCACAAUAAAUAUUAUUUGAUUCGCACAUUUUUUUCAAUCAAAAUCUGCAAGAGGAAAAAUAAAAUUAGGAAAAUUUGAAACAAUUUGGUAUUAGAUGGCAAAAUAAUACUUUAAAUUUCACAUUCAAGCACUCAAUAAAAGAUUGAAAGCUAAAAGAAAAGAUUUAAUAAAUUAAUCAGUAAACAAUCUGAUAGUCCUACUUUUUUUACCUUAAUCUGAUAGCGGCCGGGUGAAAGUCAAAAUCACCAUCAUGUCGAAGCAGUUGUGAAAUUAAACCCUAUCAAAAUUUUAUUCCAAUUUCAAAACAGUUCAUUAACCGAGAGUUUAAAUUGAUUGCAAAUCUUGCUUUCUAUAAACAAAACAUCACAGUUUUUUUUUUUUAAAUAGUCAUCACCACAAAUUGUUAAAUAUGGGAAACAAAAUUAAACGGAUUUUCAAGUUAACAAUCAAAGAAAUCUUCAUGGGAGUCUAAGGGAAGUCAUAUUAUAAAGAAGUCAUGUUAUGGUAAUUGUCACCUUCAUUGUUUUGAUUAUCUCCUCAAGAACUGACAUCAAUGUAGUACAAACAUAUUGUUAACAGACAUAUUGUUAAUAAAAACCUCUGGAUUCUUAUCAAAGUUAAGGCACAAACACUAUACCUGAAUAUCUUCCUACAUUUGAUUUGCCCAAAAUGCCCUGCCUUUUGGGUUGGGUUGCUCCAAAACAAACCCACACGAACUCCAUUACACAUGUUAUGUUGAAGGCCAUGUGUUUCUCUUCAACCCAUUCUCUCUCUACUCUCUUCUCAAUAUAUUUAGAAAAAAAAUUUCAGCUUUUAAAUCUCAGCUUUCUAUAACUAAUCUAACUAUCCCUUUCUUUCUCCGAAUUGAUUUUUCUCUUGAUCUCAAUUCCAUUUCUUCUUCCUUUCUGUAUACUCUCUUCUCACUCUUCUCUUUCUUAAAAUAGCAUUUUAAAAUGCAAGUAUGUGAAGUAAAACCAAAUGCAAAUAAACCUUGAAAUCAAAUGUAAAUAAACCUUCAGAACUCAGUAGCAUCAUUCUUACAUUCAUCUCAAAUACUAUCAGAUUAGAUGUCUGCGACAAACCAAAAGUCCAAAGCAACUUGCAACUCAAGAAUGUACUAAUACGACAACACAUUGUUGGACUAAACUACACACGUAAAGCCUACAAUACCCUUACUUCCAGCAGAUUACAUUGUGAAAAUAAAUUAAAUAAAAAAUGUGCAUAUGGCGUGUUUUUUGUUUCAUUAAUAUUUUUUAUUCCACAUGCAUGUGCCUAUUACCAACUUUCAGUUGAUCAUAAUGCAUAUGCAUACUUAGAAAUGUAAUUGUCAAAAUGGUGUCCACACCUGGUGAUAUUAUGCUAUAUUGGUGAUUAUUCAAAAUAGGUUCACACCUGGUGAUAUUAUGACAGUCUCAAUUUGAGCUCCAACUUGGUGAUAUUAAUCAAAAUCAUAACAAAGAUAAUCAUUAUCCAAUACACAACCAAAGGCCAAAGCAAUUGUAUUUAUUGAUGUGUUAUUGAAGAGUUACCUGAAUAACAGCAACACCACCUGAGAGCCUAGCGAUUCUUCCGUUAAUCUUUUCCUUUACGUAGUCUUGUCCUGCAACCUGCAAAAUCGAAGACAUUAUUUGAUAUGAUUUUGAUUUUAAGAAUAAAUAUGAAUAACAGAUUCAAAAAAUAGAACCGCAUACUCAAACUUAUGAAAUUGUACCUCAAUAAGGUUUUGAAUCUGGGAGACUCGUUGGUUUACUGCUUCCUGGAUGCUACCAUCACCAACAAUUUUUGUUGUUUCCUUGUUGAACACCACCUUUGCAGCAUGACCAAGGAUUUCCUUAUCAGCCUCAUCAAAAGUUAGGCCAACUUCCUUUUUAAUCACAGUGACUAACAAUUAUAUGGCAGCAUAUAAUCAGUGUGCUCAGCAUAAACAUAAAAGAAAAGAAACUUCAAAUAACUGCACAGAGAGAAAACUAAUGCCCAAUCAUAAAGAUAAAAAAUACAGAUCAGGAAUGAGAGAUAGAAAGACAUGGAAGAGAAGCAGUUUAAAAGGCAAAUCAGUUGGGUUUUCUUAACAACUUAUCUGUAUGCAGGAUACGCCCAUUUUCACGUACAACCGGUGAUUCGGUAAGUCGCCCUCAACCAGUGAUUCGGUAAGUCGUCCUCAUAAAAUAUUCAUUUUCCAAUUUUCCAAUUUUUUGUUUUUUUUUUUUUAAAAAAAGAUUACGCAACCCAAUGAUUAAUUAAAAUUAUCAUAAUCUUGAUUCUUAAAUGCACAAAAUGGUUUCAAACAAAAUCCAAACCAUACAGUUCGCACAAAACAAAGAGACUUUCCUAGCUCGAACCUUAAAAGAUCCAAACUUUCAAUUUGAAUCUUGUCAAACAGUUAAUUUUAUCAUAUACAAAGAGCUUAAUCUACUAUUUUCUAUUCCAAAAGUGAACGAUUAAAUAGUGCAUUAAAUUUGAAAGUGUUGAAAUCAAAUUUGUAUACCUUGAUGGCAAGAGGAUUAGCAACUCCUCUCAAGAACUCAACAUGAGCACCAUCCAACAACUAACCUAAAUAGCCAACAUUUUAAUCCAUCGUCAUGUCUGACAAUCUCUUUUUAGUAUUAUUUCACAAAAAAUUCGGUUUGAAGUAAUACAGUAAAGGAGAGUAUAUCAAUAGUCAUGUAAUAAUCAUGAAAACCAAUUAAAGUCAGAACCUGCUUAUCGAAACAUUCUCUUUCGAGUGCUAACUGCAUUUAGAUUGAAUUGAACUAUCUGAAGGUGUCCCAUCAUUUCUUAUGAUAGUCCUAUCAGAACUUCAACAGCAUUUUCAGCUUCAAACAACCUCCAAAACACAUCUUCUACUGCUUCAUCCAUGCAAAACAUUUCCUGUUUUGCUGAAUGUAACUUUUGGUUCAACUCAUCUUCACCAUUUCUUGAAUCUGACAGCUUCUUUUCCAAAUCUAGAUCUCUUGCUAAAGAUUUCUCAAGCAUUCUCAGAAUAUGUCUUUGUUGUCCAGCCGUUUGCAUUUUGAUCUUGGCGUUCCUGUUAGAAAAAUGAUCAUUAUCUGAGACAUCUCCAUCUUUGCUAUCAAAUAAAAAACUUGAUAAAUGUAUCUAAAUCCUACAGUUCCCCCUUAGUAAUCAAAUCAUAACAUUUGAAGAAGAUGCAAUUGUAAAAAAAUUAAAAAUCCCAUUAGAAUUUUGUAGUGAAUAGCCAUGACUUGAUGAUAGAGAAUUGCAAUAUGAUCAAAGUGAUUAUUUGCAGAGAAAUUGUGAAAUUGUUUGAGGGUUUUGUUAACCUUUGGCGAAAAUCCAAAUUCAUAUUCAAUCAAAUUUUGAUUCUUCUUCUAAUUUCGAUUCUACAACAUAAAUGUUGUCAGAUCGCAGUUAAAAAUCAAAUUUGGAUGAAUGGGGUUUUAAGUUUUAUGAUUUCAUGAAAUAGAUGAAAUAUAUGGUUGAAAUGAAAAAUAAAAUAAAAAUACAUGAAAAGUUCGAUCUGGACUACUGCUUCAGUUGAAUAUAUGAAUCAUUUAACUUCUCAUUAAACCUUUAACUGGGAUUUUAAAUCAAUCAAAAGGAUUUCGAUCAGAUUAUGAAUUUCCCAGUGACAAUGGUCAGUAACGUCACCGAAUCUAUUGUUCAUGGGUGGCUAUUUUUACCAGGGAAAACAUCAUAAUUUCAACUAAGGUCUUGUAGCCCUAGGUAUAUUUUCAGCAGAAUUUAGAACCACUUAAAAAUCAUAACUAAUGAAUUUUUUACUUCUAGCAGAACUUCUAUUUGAAAUUAACCGAAAUACAGGAAAUUUCGAUCAUUUUACAAAAAAUUAUGGUGAGAACUUUCAUGAAGAUCUAAACAUUCAAUGAAGAUUAGAUGAUGAAAGAUUUUGAAGAAGUAACAUUCCUUCUUUUUUCUUUGUUCAAUCAAUCAAAUCGAACCGAACCAAAGCGCCAACCAAACCAAUAAAUUAUCUAUAAGUAUCUUGUCUCAAAUCAUCAUCACCCAAUAUUAAUAUUACAAUAUUCCGAGACUUUACUUGUCAAAGAUACAAAGAAACCUAUAGAUAGGCUAUAGCAUAAAGCGGAACACCAAAUUAACAUGUGUUGUUAUUUCAGCAAAACUGCAGAUUUUAGAAAUAUUGCAUGUCUUCGUUCUUCAGUUUCCUGAUCAACUACUCUCAGAAGAACUCUGCCAAAUCACUUGAAAACUUAGCCCAACCUCAUAAACGUACAUCAUUUAUUCCUAUCGCUUAGGAACUAAAAAUAAGGAGAUCAAUAAUAAAACCCUUUGAUUCUGAAUUCUUAGGUUUCUUCUGUGCUUUGGUUUUGAUUGAUUGCCUCCGCUAUUAACACACUUUUCAUUCUCAGGUAAAUUUCCUUCAUAUGCAACCUUAUAUUUCUCUGUUGUGUCCUUGUCCAAACAUUCUUCCAGUUUUGCCUAGUUAUACCAAUACCAAGUUGGUUUAUAUUGAGAAUGGUAAGUAAUAUGAUAAAUGCAAGAGUUAAACCGAAUCAGUAUAUACCAAAAUGCAUGACUUUGCAAGAGGUAACAUUAAAAUUUCACGUUAAUCGGAAUUCAAGCAGCACAAGGAUUAAUCAUUACACUCAAUUUCUCUGUUUCUUACCAUGUCCAUGAUCCAUGUUUCCAUUUUCAUUGAGCUACAGAACAAGAGAAUAGUGAGGUUAGUAUUAGAAUAACAUGCUUAUAUGGUCUUCUUUAAUAUUACUGAUAAAAAAAAACUGACAUCUCCACCUGUAAUUCUAUAUGAUUUCCAUGUCUCUCCAUUGCUUCUUUUACGCAAGUGUCUGUUUGAUCGAGGAUGCUUUGUAUUGCCAGAUCAUUGUCUUCAAAAAUCUCCAGAUCAUAAACAUCAGUUGCGACACUGGUCAAAAGUUCCUGAUGUCUGAAGCCUCUCGGACAUUCACAACUAUUUGUAUUUUAGAAAUGUUGAUAGUAGUUGAUCAGGAAACAUCAGUUGCGACACUGGUCAAAAGUUGCGACUGGGCAUCAUUCAGAACACUUCGUAUAACAUCCAACAUACAUCUAUUUGUCCUGGAAUUCUGGAAAUGCCACUUUCCCUCUCUUCGACAAGUUGUUGUUGCUGCAUCCGAAGGAUUGUUUCAAAACUUUUGUGGGCACGGUUGUUGGUAAGCUUCCUUUCCAUAAGCUCAUCAAACAAAAGACGCCAAAUAGCCUGUAUGGCCUCCCUAUAGCUCAACAAUUUGUAUUUCCCAUCACACAUGUUUAAGCUUUGAUAAUUUUUCGCAAUAAUCUGAUGAAGUUCUUUUUCCUGAGCUUUUCUUAGUUCGUCUAAAUGUGACCACAUUUUCAGUUCUUCCUCACUUGAAAGACCAGUAAACAUCCACCUCAAUAAAACAUCAGUAAUGGGUGGUUCUAUAUCAUUCAUAUCACUAUCAGGACUUAAUGUUGGUGAAGCAUCAUUAUCAGUAUAAAUUUUUGAAGUACUUUCACCACAAAAUGAAUUUUCGCCAAAAAGGAGACAUAAUGAGUCACCAUUAAGAACAAUUCUCCAUUUAUUUUCUAAUCCCAUGGGGUGAGUACAGUGAAACUUACCAAUGUUGCUUGUCUUCUGAUCAAUUAUCUUAAAAGUAUAUUGAGAUAACUCAUCCAAAAAUUUGACUAUUUCUUCAAGUUGUGAAUGUCCGCGAGCUUUAAACUAGGAAAUAGAACUCCUAAUCUCUUCUUAGUCUAUUGCUUAAUCUUUUCUACAUGAUUUGCAGAAAGAUAUCCUGCUCUCAAAACUUUAUCCAACAUCUGACGAAUUCUUUGAAGCAAAACUGACCGGUCUGAAUCAUCAGACAUAGGCCAAUGUGAUUCUCCCCUGUCAUUGCAAACUUUAUAGGUAAGAGGGCCUCGGAUGUGCUUUUCGGGAGACUUGUCAGUGUGACUGUCUAUUUUAUCGGGCAUAUGGCUCCUAGCCUCCUAGUGGUUACUGGUUAAUCCUUUACUAUUGUGUAUGGAAAACAAUUGUCCCCACUGCUCCACAAGUAUUAAUUGGAAGUGCUGCAGCGAAUCAUUGACUGCCAAUCGCUAUUAAGUCUUAAACGCAAGACAAAUAGGAAUUCCUGUGAAAAGCUUCCCAAGUGUGCUUCAUUGACAUGUUUAAAUUGCAAUUCAGAAUCAACAGAUUCAUUGAACCCAACCUAGAAAUAAUAUCUAAACUACGUCGGUUUUUUACUGAGACAUCAUCAUUCACAUUGGCAAAAUUAUCAUUGCUAAGCGGGUGCGCAGCAACCUUAGAGUAUUGGAUUGGAUCAAUAAUGGGCUACAUGGGUCUACGAUGAAUAUGCUACAUAAUUUUGACCGAGUAAUUGGGACUGUAAGACCAUUGACACAAUGACAUUCAAAUCAUAUCCUGAUAACCCUACAUGCAGUCGGUCAAUGACCUACACCUCAACAGUAUAUGGACCAACAAGUGAUUCUCUUGACACUGUUUUGACAAACUAUCAACUCCCAGAACUUAAUGUGAAUGACUGGCUAGUGUUCCCUGAGAUGGGUGCUUACUUGGCUUCUGCUGGGUCCAAGUUUAAUGGCUUUGAUACGUCAGCUAUCUGCAUUUACCCUGUCUACUCUAACCGAAGCAGUACGUGAAUCAAGCAUGAAUGGGAACAUCCAUGGUUUAGUUGGUGUCUCGAUUGAUCAACUGAAGCAGAUACAGAAUGAUGCAUUUUAACACUUGGUAGGAUAUUUUCAGAAUGAAUCCAUUAAUUUCCAACUGUCAAAGUGGCUUACCUGUUUGACUCAAGCAAAUCCAUAGUUGUCGAAGUGCCGCCAGCCUCAUACACCCUGUCAGCGAUCACUGGCAUGAAACCUGGAGGAUAGUCCAUCUCUAUCUUCACUUCAGCGCCAGCCUCUUCUAUCACCAGCCCACCCAGCACUGGAGUCAUUUCAAAUUCCACAAUGGCGAGGUCAUCAUCUACAUACAUAUACCCCGGACGAUCCCCAACAUAGUACGGCUGAUAGGGGCCGAAAAUCUCUCGCAGCUGGGUCUUAGUUGGCUUCCGUGACUUGGACCUGCAGUCAGAACACUCCCUGAGAAAUUUUUGAGCCAGCUCUAUCCACUCUACACACAGGUCUUGAUACGCCAAUCCAGUGCCUUCAGCCACCCAAGUUUUGAAGUGCCCCCAGGCCUUCCUGAUUGUCUUGUAAGGAUAGCGCGGAAAGAAGUCAUCCACCAUACCCCUUGCAAUGUAGCCAGCGUCAUCUACAAGGUCAGCAAAACUAAGGACGACCUCCUCUCCUCCUUGAACCCUUAUCACUCGAAGAUCCUCCAUGCAACUCACAACUCUCUUCCCAUGGUUUUUCCCUUGUUCGGAACAUAAAGAUCGAAGAAUGGCUGCCCUCACGCGCUCGGAUACGAAGGGGGAAGCCAUUGGAGGAUGAUAAACUAUUAGGGAGAAGAGAGAUUGGGAAGAAGAAUAGGCUGCAUCUCUCUGCCUCUGCCCAAGAUAAAAAGCCACUGCCUCGAGCAGACUAAACGGCAGUCCCUCAACUACAUGCCUUAAUUACCAUUUACAUACUGCUCUAUUGUUUUUCGAUUAUCAAGGUUCCUCUUAUGGAUCUUCCUUGGCCAUUGGGCCCAUUAGUACUUGUAUUGACUCUUCUGAUUAUAAUGAAAACACAAAAAUUCCUAAAAAAAAAAAAAUAAAAAAAAAUAGAGCCUUGUUUACAUUUAUUUUUCACAUUUCUUAAAGAUAUAUCCACGUACACAAGUCGAAAUUGAGUUCUGAUCAGUGAAGAUGGUCUCCGCUGUGCAGAGAUCAUUUCAAGAAUAUUAAAGCACAACCAAGGUGAUGAGGCUACGAAGAUAAUAUAUUUAAGAAAAUCUUAUAACAAUCAGUUCCAAAACAAGUUCAUGUUGAUUGCAGAAAAAGUAUAGGGGUAUUAGUAUUAGUAUGUGGUUUCGCGUGCGAGUGACAACAAAAGAAUAUUACAUGAAAAUGCCAGUGAAGGUUAUAACAAUAUUUGGUAUUUACCCUAUAAAGUUGUUAAAGUUGUGAGUGAAGGUUCAUGCCAAUAUAUGUUUAAGGAUCAGGAAUUAUCUUGCUUUCUUUGUAUUGACAGCAGGAUUUUGUCCUCCAUGGAUCCUCCCACUUUACCUGGACUAGCCGACUCCACAAAUGAUAUUACAGGGGAUGAGAUUUCCAGGGGUCCCUCCAACAUUGCGUACCGUCUAUUGUAAUGAGCCAUUAUGAUAAAGGGAUAAUGGAGUUCCUUUUAACAUAAGGUUGGUCUUGGAUCAGUUCAUUAUGCAUUUAUGCGGUAUACUAAAUUAUAAAAAUAGGAGAAGAAAUACAGACAUUAGUGACAAUCACUAUGAUCUAGGGUAAAAGAUCUACGAUGAUAUGGAGUUGUAAUUACAUCAUCUCAACAGAGGAUGCUCUGAGUUGGUGCCUUGGUUUUUUUAGGUAAAUGCAAUGACUUAUUCUGUUAUAGUGUACACAUUCUUAAUAUCAGGCAUAUCAUACCAUCCCUUCUCCCUGCGCUUCCCCUUCCAUUUGAAGCUGCCGUGCAUGGUUUAUGCAUUGUGGAGUUUUAAUAACUCGUAGAAAAGGGAUAAUAUCUAAAUUCGAUAGAUCUCUAUAUUCAUAGAUUAAGAUUCACCCACUUGAGUUUUUCCUAAAAGAUUUUGACAUUAGUUGAAGUAUAGUUAAGGACAGAAACUUUGAUACAGACUUACAGAUGUGACUAUCAAACAAUUUAGUGAGACGACAAAUAAGCUGAAACCACAAUAAAACAUGGAAAUUCAAACCUUACAAAUAGAAAGUACUUCAAGAAUCAAGAGAAUCUGUGCCUUCAUGAAUAUUAAAAUUGUGCCUUCAUGAUUAUUGGCCGGAUGCCACUCUGCAUGAUGAUAUUUGGAAAUGAUGCUUUCAAGACUUAAAUUCUGAGCUUUAGACAUUCCAUCUUCAGACAACAAGGACAUCGAUUAUUUAACAAAAGAAAAAUACGUGAUUACAUUCAAACUAUUUUUGGUGGCCAAGUUGUAGUAAUGGAAGCAUUAUCUUAUCCAUAAUCAUAACGCCAUUUUUCAUAUUCCACAGUAAAGCAAACUAUGCUCUCUUUCUCCAGAGUUCAGACACAUUUUUCCUUGUCCAUUCACCAGUCCAGUCUGUAGACUGUAGAUGCAUCUCUAAAACACAACAUAUAUAACUGAGAACCUGCCAAACUGUUGAGGCAUUCUUCAUUUGAUAUCUUCAAAGGUGAAGUCAAUCCCAUGUCCUUCUCAGACUUAAGGGUGCUUGCUUCUCCUUCAGUUAAACAUCGCUACCAAAUGAUGUUUCUGACAGCAGCUACUCCACUUCAUGCAUGAUGCAUCUAGAGAUCACUUGUCAACCGAGUGGUGUUGCAACGUAGGCUGCUAAAAAUUGACCGAGACAAUACCAUCCUGCACAAAACAGUACUUCUACAGAGCCGUAAUAAAAAAAAGGGCGAAUAGCCCUACUGACUCUGCCACCCCAGUCCAAGUCCGUCUGGGUAAUUUACCUUCCUUAACAGCAUACAUUUUCAGCAGUUCUUACAUAUUGUUAUGUAUAUUCCGAAGACAAGCUUACUCGUCUUUUCAGUAAUUGUAAAUCCAGCUAAGUCAUGCAGUCAUGAUAAGCAUCGAGUCAGUUGUACACUUAGUGUAUUUCCCGAAGAACUCUUCUUUACAUCUACAUUGUCAACAUGUUAUCCUUGAUAUGGCCGUUGGGUGUCUUGUGGGAGGCCCCAAGAAACCACGUAAGUCACCAUUCAGCAGCAUUUAUAACCUGGCACUCUUCAGCAACAUAUAUAUUAACAAUGUACUAAGAACCACCCUUGGCCAUUGUACGCCAGCCAUUAUGUUGGGGACUUGAUUUCUCAACACUCAGCACAAUAUAAUGAUACCCAAUAGUUCAUGACCUCAGCGUCGCUUUGAACCAGACUUAAAGUGCAUUUCCCUCAGAAUUUCAAGGGUCACCAAAGACCAACCAUCUUGAGUUUGGGCAAAAAUUUUGUUAUUCAAUGUGUUGAUGUAUACACUUAUGUUACCAAAGCCAUAUAUCUGGAGGCCAUUAUGUGUUCUACCCGGUUUAGGCUUGAAGAGCAACUCAUUCUCCUGCGCGUACAAUUCAAUGACUUCUUUCAAACUCAUAACAUGUCCAGCAUCCAUAGCAGAUGCUUGCUGCUGAGCGUAUGCGGACGCUUUCUGCUGAGCCUCGAACUGCCUUUUCUCAGUCACCCUAAGAUAACUAAUAUUUUCCCUGGCCCCAGGUUGUACGACCUCCAUACCCUCAACCGCCUGGUUCAUCAUUUGAAGACCCACAUCCAGAUGAUGCCGGAUCUGCUCAUUAGCUAGCAGUUCUUGUGGCAAAAGUCCUUUCCAACCCAAAUACCACUGCAUGACCUCUUCAAAUUUGGGGUUCGAGUUCAGCCAGUGAAACAAAGCAAGUUGCCAUUUGGGGAAAAAACUAACUGCCAACAUUGUGACCAUGUGGUGGAUUGGAAUUGCCGAUGUCCAUGACAUUACCCAAGAAAACUGAUCUAGCUUUUGAUCUGCAGGGUUCACCUGGAACUCGUGUAGAACAUUUGCUAAUUUUGGUACUAUAUGCCGAACAAGCAAAUGUUCCCAACUGGCUGGAUCGAAAACAGUCUUCCACGGAGACAAUAUAGCAUAAGCAGACCCAUCACUUGGGUGCCAAGCAUGAAGAACAUUUCCUAAUUUGAAGCGAAUGGUUUGGUACAAACUUUCCAGCUUCGGACCUAAUAGAGGUAGCCAUGGGUGCACCCACAGAUGAAUCGAGACAGUGUCCCUGCGUGGAUCCCAUAUCUCCACGGCCUGCGAUAGCUUUGGCAUCACCAUGUUGUCUAAAAUUGUCUGGAGAACUGAACUAGGCAAUAGCUCCUCCCAUAAUUCCAAAAAUUUGAGCAUUGGUUCAGGGUCCCUGGGGUUCCAUGUAUUCGUCCCACAUAUCCUCACAGCAGGAACAACAACCUCCAUUACCAAUUGGGCAUAAGGUGAGGAUGUAUCUGAAUAAUCAAAAGGAGAAUCUUCCUGUAACAAGUUCUUCCACAACGACAUAAGCUUCAACCCAUGUGAGGGAUUCUGAAGAGGAUCCCAACCUUGAAAAACUCUAAUCAGUAAAGGCAAUGCGAAAGAACAUGCAACACAAGACAGAUUGCAGACCUUGUACUCAUCAUAAUACCUCCUCUGUAAUUUAUCAAAUGCCUCAAGUAGAGAGUCUAAAGUUAAUGUCCCUACCGCGUUGUCAUGUUUUAUCCAUUCAACCACUCCAGCUAUGUCUUGCAUAUUAUCUAGCUGUUUCUUCUGCCUAUCCGCAUCUUUUUGAAGCUUCUCCUUCUCUUGCUGUAAACUGACCACAUUCUCUCUCUCGUUCCUCAAAUCCCAAUCCAAAUUCUGGAUAUCAAGCUCUACUAAAUCUACAAUCAACUUAAUAUUGUGUUGAAGCUCAGGCAUAGGGGUACCAUUAUGUUUUAACUUCUCUUCAGCAUUCAAGUCACUCAAAUUAGACAAAAUCCUUACCUGUGGUCCUCUCAUAUCAACCACCUUGACAUGGAAAUCAUUAUCCUCGGUACAAGGUAAUAACAACUCUUCAGCUGUAAUAUACUCCUUCUUCUUCUUCUUUGUGCGACACUGCUUCAACCAUAGCUUCUCUUUCAGCUGAGCCACACCAGGCAAAGAAUUAAUCUGCUCCUCCACAGCCUCUUGCAAUACAGACACUGUCUUAUAAUUAUUAUCAUAACCAAGUCCUAUAUUCUUUUUCCGCAACUUUGCCUCCACUGGAGCUACAAUACCCUGUUCAUUCUUCCCUAAUCCACCACCCCCUUUAUAUCCCAUCUUCUUUAAUAAUUUCAUACCAAACCCCUUAGUAUGCUUUUCAACUCCCCAACAUCCCCCAGCAUCCAUGUUUUUCUUUUUACAAACCAUCUUCAACAUCUCCNNNNNNNNNNNNNNNNNNNNNNNNNNNNNNNNNNNNNNNNNNNNNNNNNNNNNNNNNNNNNNNNNNNNNNNNNNNNNNNNNNNNNNNNNNNNNNNNNNNNAAAUCUUUCUUACGUUUUCUGUUAGUGUUGUUAUCAACAUCUGAAUCACUGUCAUCAGCAAAAACACCAUAAACAACAUCAUCUUUACUUUGAUGCCGUUUUUUCUUCUUCUUGUUGUUGUCGUCGUCUUUGCGUUUGUUGUAAUAGUAUUCUCCACCAAUCCAUUGCCCGUCUUCGAAAAUCUUCUCCAUAUGUUGCAUGUUUUUUUAUUCAACUCAAUCAAAAUAUUCUCCAUGCCGUAUUUAUUUAUAUAUAUUAUAGUCUUGAAGGUGUAAAAAAACCAAAUCAAAUUAAAAGUCUUAUUCCGAUACCAAAAGAAAUUCUAAAUCUUUCGUGGAUUUAGAAAUCGAAAUCCAAAAACGAUUCAAUAAACAACCUGUUUCCCAACAUGAUUUUCUUCGAACCCACGAAAGAUGGUUGAUUCUGCAUUUCUGCUGCUGAUGCUUCAAAGAGUCAUUCAAACCUUCUUAAUAAUGAAGUUUACUAUGUUUAAAAAAUGGUAGGGGUACUAUAUACUCCAACCAAUAAAAACAAGCCACGUGGCACGGUCAUUAAUCAGGUCGCUCUGUACUCGACCUACUCAGAACUCGACCAGAGCAGCUCGACUACAGGAUCAACAACGAUCUAAUUACGCGCACAUGCUCUAAUUCAACGCACAGAUAAUAUCUCCAGCUGUCAUACAUUCAUUACAACCGUUACCCAAUCAUUGGAGAAUAUUACAUCACCAUAAAUAUGUCGGAGAAUCUGCAAGAUCCCGAGAUCUUCGCCUCAUCACCUUCUAUAAAACAUAACUACGAUGGCUUGAUCUCUAGGUUCAAUCCCCACGAACUAGAGUACGUAGACAAUCUCGAUCUCAACGAGGUGCAGCCACCCCCGAUCUAAAACUCCCCCUUUGGUCAAGUCCGUUAGCGCCCUGAUCUAGUGAAUGCAUUAAUCUAGAAAUAGGUUAAUACAUUUGGCGUCGACUGAAAGAAAUUCGAUUAUAUCGAAAAACCCAAACCCUCCCACCCAACUCAAAGUCAUCUACUCAAAUGGCUACCCAAGAACUAACUAUCCAAGAUCUGCAAGACCAAAUCAAUCGUCUUCAGGAAGAAAAUGCACAAUUGAAGGCUGCACAAACUACCGCGCCAACACCAGUUGCGCAAUUAGCAAAUGGCGGACAUGGGGUCAUUGUUGUUGAAGACAACAACCAAAAAUACGAAGAACUCAGCCAACAGCUCGCAGAGUUCAAAGCCUCCCAGGCCGUCAUACAGCUCCACAAAGGCCAUACAGCCGAACAACUUGCUGUCCAGUCCCUCUAAAAAUUCCAAGAAUCUCCUUUCACCAAGGAAAUCCUUGAUCAUGAGUUGCCUAACAAACUCAACGCCCCAAAAUUCGAUCAAUAUGCAGGAGUUAGAGACCCAACAGAUCACAUCAAGGGAUUCCGUAAGUCACUACCUCUCAUUAAGGAAGAUCACCUUCUAUGUUUGUUGUUCCAGUCCAGCCUCACCGGACCCGCUCUCGACUGGUUCCACCGUUUGAAGCCAGGAUCCAUCAACUCGUUCAUGGAUCUGGAAAAGCAGUUCGUUAUCUUCUAUAUCCACAACAAAAAGCGUCCAGUCACCAUCGACGCUAUAUUCAAAGUGAAACAACGAGAUGGCAAAUCACUGAGCAAUUUCUUUGCUCGAUUCAAAUCCGAGCUACACUCCAUCCAGGAUUUUGCAAAGGAACAUGAAGCCUUCGCAACAAUAGCAUUCUCUCACGGUCUGAUCCAAGGAUCCGACCUGCACAAGUCUCUGGCCAUGAAACGGCCAACAUCUCUCGACGAGCUCUACCUUAAGGUAGAUCGUUACAUCAAGCUCGAAGAAGCCCUAAUUGGUAGGAAAAAAAAUCAUGUCAUCUCCAACAUGGAAGGUGGUUCCACUAAGCGACCUCGUUCGGACAACAAGAGGUUCAAAGCCAAGUCGUUGCCCACUGAGCAACGAGAGUACCACCGAUUCACAUGACCAGCAGGUUAUAUCUACGAGCGAAUCAGGCACAACCGUUGGUGCAAGAUUCCGAGCUUCACACAACUGGAGGACACAUCUGGUCGACCAUACUGCAAGGUCCACAAAGUUAGGUGUCAUCAGACUGAUGACUGUCGAUUAUUGAAGCGUGCCCUCCAGACGUGGGCCGAUGAAAAAAGGCUCAACAAUUGGAUCCUUGGCAGACAAGAGGAACCCAAUGGUAAACGAGCCAAGAAAAGAUCAAACACGCCUCCGCAUCCAGCAAGGCGAUCUCAAAACAAGGACAGAACGGCCUCGACAAGUCCAGUCCGCAGCAGAGGGCGUAGCGUCUCACAACGACUAGGUCCAACAGGCGACCUACGCGACCAACUCAAUAAAAAGGUCGCCAACAAGAUCGACAGUGACAGUGAAUCAGAAAGUCAUGUAGUAUACAUGAUUUAUGAAUCCAACUCCACCCCAGCAUCAAGAGAGAAGAAGAGACGAGUAGAACAUCUUCACCACGUCUACUCAAUUACUAGCCGAGCAGUUCGAUUCAACAUCCCAGCUCGCCAGGAAACAGACAUCACCUUCACCGAGGACGACCUCAACAAGGUCGUCACCCCUCACAACGACGCUCUGGUCGUUGAGUUACGAAUAGCUGAUUACAUCAUCAAGAGGGUACUCAUUGACCCUGGUGCAUCCUGCAACAUACUCAUGUACAGAACUUUCAAGGACAUGAGGCUACCUGACUCAGUCCUCAUCCCUGAUUUCACUCCCAUCUUAGGCUUCAACAGCUCCAGAGAAGAUCCUAAGGGUGAAAUAUUGUUGCCCGUCACUGUGGGACGAAAAGAAGGCAAGGUCGUUGUGACCGCAAAGUUCAACAUCCUCAACAUCACAAGUAAGUACAAUGCGAUACUUGGUCGAAAAUGGAUCCACGCCAUGAGAGGUGUUCUAUCCACAUAUCAUCAAGUGUUCCGAUAUCCCGGACCCCAUGGGAUAAUGGAACUUAGAGGCAACCAGAACGCUACACAAGAAUGUCAUGGAAUUCUUGAAGCUGCGGCGCCUGAAAAGCCAUCUACCUCAGGAACCAAGGAUGCUGACCCCAAAGGAAAGAGCACACUAGCAUCAGAAGCUCGAGAAGGUGACAAACAAUCAAAGAGCCCGUCGAAAGGAAGGGCUGAAGCAGCUAAAUAGCAAUUACAGAAGGAGCAAACGAGCUCCCCCCAGCUAUCACUCGGAAGCACUAAUCCAGGAGUACAAGAGAACUUAGGAUCAGAAGACGAUCCGAGAUAUGUUUAUGUAGGCUCAGAGUUAGAGGGAGAUAAGUACAACAACUUUGUAAACUUUCUUUUUUCUAAUAAAGAUGUUUUUGCUUGGUCAUAUAUCGAUAUGCCUGGAAUAGACCCAUCAAUUGCAUGCCAUAGACUGCGUGUCAAUCCGAAUUAUCGACCUGUUAAGCAAAAACCAAGAAGGCUCGCUCCUAAAUUUCACCAAGCGGUUAAUGACGAAAUCAACAGACUCAAACAGGUUGGGUUCAUCAAGGAAGUUGACACACCAGAUUGGUUAGCCAACAUUCUCCCAGUCUUAAAGAAGAACGGGAAAACAAGAGUUUGCAUCGACUUCACGAGCUUGAACAGAGCUUGCCCUAAAGAUUCAUUCCCACUGCCACGAAUCAAUAGGUUAGUCGAUCAGACCUGUGGUUUCGAGCUACUCUCAUUCAUGGACGCAUACUCGGGUUAUAACCAGAUCCCAAUGUACGAGCCCGACCAAGAGAAGACCUCCUUUACAACAGAGUAAGGCAUUUUUUGCUACAAAGUUAUGCCAUUCGGCUUAAGAAAUGCAGGAGCGACCUACCAACGCCUUGUCACCAGAAUGUUCGACGACCUGUUAGGUCGAACGAUGGAGGUCUACAUCGAUGACAUGCUAGUAAAGAGCAGCCAAGAGCAAGAUCAUUUGUCCAAUCUCGACCAGGCAUUCCAAAGGUUAAGACAAUACAGAAUGCGACUUAACCCAGAGAAGUGUCUGUUUGGAGUUGCAUCAGGAAAGUUUCUUAGCUACCUAGUUACAAGAAGAGGUAUUGAAGCAAAUCCCGACCAGAUCAGAGCGCUGAUCGAUAUGCCCAGCCCAAAGACAAAAAAACAGAUCCAAAAACUCAACGGCAUGGUAUUAGCUCUCAAUAGAUUCAUUUCUAGAGCGUCCGAUAAGUGUCGACCAAUGCUUCAUAUUCUCAGAAAGGGGGCUGCAUAUCAGUGGACAGACGAAUGCGAGAAAGCCUUCACUAACCUAAUGGCAUAUUUAUCCACUCCGCUGGUCCUCACAAAGCCUAAUGAUGGAGAUGUGCUCGGUGUCUACCUCGCGACCUCGGAUUUUGCGAUCAGCGCAGUACUUUUCAAAGAAGAAAAUCAGGUCGAACGACCUAUUUACUUCACAAGCAAGGUAUUCCAACAGGCCGAAAUAAGGUACACACCUCUGGAGAAAUUAUCAUUAGCCCUUCUUUACGCUGCAUGCAAAUUUCGACCUUAUUUCCAAGCCCACACUGUUAAAGUAAUCACCGACCAGCCACUACGACACGUAUUUGAAAAGAAAAACAAAACAGGUCGUAUGGCUCGAUGGGCAGCCGAGCUGGGUGAUUACACAUUCGAGUUCAUAUCUCGUCAGGCCAUCAAAAGCCAGGUCGUCGCUGAUUUCUUAGCGGACUACCCUGCAGAAGAUUUCAGUUGGGAACCAUAACCAGAAACCAGGCAAGUCCAGGUCAAUCCCCCCGACACUUGGCAACUAUACGUUGAUGGUUCCUAUAAUUCAAAUGGAAGUGGCAUAUGUGCCAUACUCAUCUCACCUGAGGGUUCACAGCUCGAACGAUCAACUCGAUUAGACUUCUCGACCUCUAACAAUGAGGCUGAGUACGAAGCUCUAAUCCAAGGCAUACAAAUGGCUAUCGAAUUUACAAGCAGUUCGCCUCAGAGUGUUCAGUGACUCACAACUGUUAGUCAAUCAGAUCACUAACAAUUACCAAAUCAACGGUGUCAAUCUGAUCAGAUAUACAAGCAGGGCAAAAGAACUAAUCAGCAAGCUUAGUUUCUUCACAAUCGAUCACAUCCCUCGAGACGAUAACAGGCAUGUUGAUUCAUUGGCAUUCUUAGCAUCCAAGAUCGAAUCAGAUCGACCUCGAGCUCUCACUAUAGCAGUACGCAACCUGCGUACCUAAUAAAAGAAGAAGUCAUCCACCAAAUCUGCGAUCUACUAGCCACAACACCGGCAGACAUCCAAAGGACUUGGAUGGAACCCUUCAUCAAUUAUCUUCAAACUGGUGCAUUACCAUCCAACAAAAAGGAAGCCAGUCAGUUAUUACAUAAACUCACUAUGUAUAAACUCCAUGAAGGUAAACUAUUCAAAAAAUCUGCAACUGGUCUAUUCUUAAGAUGCUUGAUCCCAAACCAUGGGCAAAUCAUCUUCCAAGAAAUUCAUGAAGGAGAAUGCGAAAACCACUCCGGAGGUCGAACAUUAGCUCAUAAGGCGAUCUCCCAAGGAUAUUUUUGGCCAAGAAUGAAAGAAGACGCCAAGAAGUUUGUGCUGAAAUGUAAAGAAUGCCAACGUUUUGCUGAUAAUAAACAUCAGCAUCCCAACGAUCUCAUCAACAUCACAGCACCAUGGCCAUUUCACAUGUGGGGGUUUGACAUUAUGGGUCCCUUGAUCAAAGAAAAGAAAUCUGAGAAGAGGUACGUUCUAGUUGUAAUCGACUACUUCACCAAAUGGGUGGAGGCCGUUGCCCUCACCAACAUCACUCAAGCCGAUGUCCAAAGGUUCAUAUGGGAAAACAUCAUCACACGAUUUGGUUUACCCAAAAGGAUAGUCACCGAUAAUGGUACUCAGUUCGUUGGCAAAAAUAUCAAGGCUUUCUACGCGCUAUAGAAAUUCGAUCAUUCUAGGUCGACACCUAGAUAUUCAUAGGCCAACGGUCAGGUCCAAGCUGCAAAUAGACAAAUCUUGAACAACUUAAAGAAAAAACUCAAAGAUCAAGAGGAUCAAUGGCCACAGCAGUUAGAGAACAUCCUUUGGGCCUACCGAACAACUCCUCGAACGUCGACAGGAAUGUCACCAUCCAGCCUUUAAUUGUUAUGGAGUUGAAGCUGUCAUUCCCACCGAGCUGACAUUUGGCACGACCAAAUCACUACUGGUCGACACCGAGCUCAACAAUCAGGCCUGGUCGUUUGGAAUAGAUUUAGUCGAAGAACGACGCAACCAUGCCACUAUCAAGCUCGAGCAAUAUCAACAAAGACUCAAACGAGCUUAUAACAAAGGCAUGCGACCUAGAUCUUUUCAGCCCGGUGAGCUCGUCCUACGGAAAAUGUUCCACAACAAAAGGAAAGCGAACAUUGGCAAACUCAAUGCAAAUUGGGAAGGUCCUUACAUUAUCACCAAAGCUCAAAGCAAUGGAUCUUAUCGUCUCCAAACUCCAGAAGGAGACAACGUGAAGAAUCCCUGGAAUGCUUAUCACUUGAAGAAAUUUUAUCAAUGAAGUGUAAGCACCCAUUUUUUACAUUUCAAUAUACAAACUCAUUUUUGUCUUCAUCUCAGCUCAAACAUGAACGGCUUCUAAAGGUCUAACCCCAUCCCUCGACCUACAAAUUAUCAAAAAUUCUAGUCCUUUGAUAAUUUUUUGUUAAGUACAACUUAACUCGGUACUCUGGUCAUAUCAUUCCCACGACCUACGUACAAUCGAGCUCACAUGCACACGACCUCAUCUACUAUCAGGUCCAACGGCUAUGCUUGUUAUUUAUUGUUUGCAAAACCCAUACAAGCAAACAACACAACAAGUAUAAGAAUGCAAGGUAAAUAAGUGAAAUUUCCUUGUACUUUAUGAAAAUCUAACUAUUACAGGUAAACCGAUCUACCAUAUGCGACCUAGAAGCUAUCAAAGCAAAAUUCAACUAAAGGCAUACAAGAAGAACAAUUUCAGUCCGUCCUGCUUGCAGCCAUUCAUCUCGUCUACCUGCCUUCUGAACGAGCUACCAGGACUCCCUGGAAACUAGCCGCUCAGACAGACUUAAUACAACAAAUCAAAUGAAAACUUAGGUCGUAGUCGACCUACCAAAAGCAGAUCGACCACUAUCAUUCAUUACAAACUUAGUCAAGACAGAUAAAUGUUCACUCGACCUCACUACAUCGGACUUGAAGAUUGAACGUGAGAAGAAGAAGGAGAUGUACUUUCCCAUGCAAGGAGAAGCUACCAAGGUGUAAGCUAGAUGAGCUAUUGGUGUAGUGGAGACUCGGGCUGGUCUCACCAAACACCAAGAAUCUCUGAAGACAGAGAGAGGAUCACUGCUGGGAGGUCUGAUCGUUGGGGUCACCCAACUCGUUCUGGCCACCUCCAACCACAUCAGCAGGGCCCAUCGAGGUGUCCUGAGCUGGCACUAAAGCUCCUUGAUCACCACCUCACGUCUCCUCUCCUUCGGGCGAGCCCAUCAUCUGUUUCUUCAGGUCGUCGCAGUAGGCCUUCCACUCUACACCGUUCUUAUGACAUGUGUUCUCCCAGUGGACCGCAAACUCCUUAGCAGCAGCAAGCUCAGCCCUUACCACCUCUAACAUCUCCUUCAACACCACAAUCUCCCCAUCCCUAUCCCUAACCUUUGACUCAGCAACUACAACAAUCGUCUUCGCCUGCUCGAGCUUCUCAUUCAUAUGCUUCAGCUCAAUCUCAGCUCAAGCUCCCACCUCAGCGACCAGACGAACUUCCUGGAAGCUGGCGUUGAGCUACACACACAGGCAUCGGUUAGAUAGCAGCAUACAAACAAUCGAAACAGAAACUAAAAGUUACACUCACCAAGGCCAUUGCUGAGUUUAUCUUCGAGCAAGUCACCAGCAGGGUCUGCGACUUUACCGCUCGAGCAUCAGCAUCCAGAACGAUGCCCUCAUUCACAGCUCGGGCAACGCAGGGGUCAUCUAUGGCACUAUCGUUAUCAUAAACGACAUGCUUUCCCCCUCGACCAUCCAAGUAAUCGAACGGCCCAGGUCGAAACUCAGAUGACACCCCCUUACCUUUGUGCAAAGGCCGAGCAGCAGUCUUCUUCGACAAAGGAGUGGGUUCAGGAGAUCGCACAGUUUUGAGAGGGGCAGGAGCAGGCACAACUGGUGGCUCCAUCAGCUUCAUAUUCCCCGAGAACGAUCUCUUCCUAAUCGACCCGGCAGGUAGCUUGGGUAGAGAGGUCGGUGGAGACACGAUCUGGGGGCUCGCCUCUCGCUCACCUUGUCGCGAGCUACCACUAGAUCGACCCUUCUCAGCUCUCUGCACAGAUGACAUAAAGUUCUUUUUCAACAACUUCCUCCUCUCGAGCUCUUCCGCAACUGUUUUCGGACCACCCUUGGGGAUAAAGUGCUCCUUCAAGUGCGGCAAAUACUGUGCCUUCCGAUUGUCCGCCCACAACCCAAACACGUUCAAAGCAGAUUUCAGGUCGUUCUUCUUCACCAGAUGGUCGUCCCUGAUCGCUGCAAACAAAAACUUACAGUCAGAAAUUUAGGAAAAAUGAAUAGUUCAUAUCGACCUAUGACUAACGACCAGAAACUUACGAUUAUCAUCCACAUUCCUAGUCACAUGACGCAACCGGAUAUUCCCCUCAGUGAUCGACCCAGUAAUCAGCAUGGGAUCCUUCCACCAUGGCUCACUACUCACAGGGUAGAUCAAGGGUAAGCGGUCCGGCCUGACUUGCAUGUUAUAGCCCGCAAGCCCCGGCUUCGAAGACCGUUUAAGCAUAAAUGAUCUAACACAUUUUCUACACUAAUAUUCCACCUAUGCAUCUUAUUGAGGUCGUCAAUAACCCUCAUAUUCCUCCAAAAGUUACCAUUCAUCUGGCAAGGAGCUCGCAUGAUCGCAUUAAGAAGGUCGACCACCAAGCCAGAUAGAGGUAACCUAAGCCCAGCCCGGAAUUGGGCCAAAGUGAAGACAGUCGAGAAAGGGUUGUUAGGUCGAUACUCGACAGUGAGCAAACGAUCUCCCAAAAACCUAAUCUCUAGAUGCUCAAUCGAGCUAAGACCGUACUGUUUCCUAAAGACAAUAUGCCUAUGGACGUACUUAGGGUUUACAACACGGCAGAACGACCCAUCGUCACUCUCAACCAUCUCAUCAUCAAAUGUAUCUUCACCAUGAGGACCACUACUCUCAGGGCUUUCUGGGUCUACAUCUCCUUCCCCCCGACUAGGAGAAGCAGUUUCCCACUGAGUCCUUUCCGACUCAUAUUCAGCGACAUCAUCACCACUCAAGUGAUCAUUUUGUGAAUCACUACACUCCGACAUCUCUCUCAAAUCGAAAGUACAGAAAGAAAAUGAAGAAAGUAAAAGACAAAGAUAAGUAGAAGAGACUAACCUCACGAGCUCUCAAAUUUCUUCAGGUCGCAAUGGAAAAACAACAGCAGUUCGAGAGAGAGAACAAGAAAAGUAAACUCUUUCCUCACAACGCUACAGUUUAAAUACGGCAGCAAACGCAAUCCCAGCCAUCAGUUCGAAUACAUUCAACGGCUAAGAUCGAACAUGGGAACCACGUUCCUUGCAGUUAUUUUCCACUCACCCAACGUUCCACAUCCACCGUCGGAUACAUCCACGUGUCCAGCAUCGAACCCAUCAAGCAAGAAGUGCGUCAGUUGUCAUAACUUUACGGGUAACUGCUCGAGGAAACUUCUCCACUUCCCCGUAAAGGCGCAAUGAUGAUACGAGACAAUCAUGCAUGACCGCCACGUGCACAAAUUCAAAAAGCAGACUUCAAAUCAACAUCGAUCAGAGUUCUAAGUCUUUUCAGCCUGACUCCCACCAUCGACCUAAAAAGAGAGGGCUUAUGUAGGGGUACUAUAUACUCCAACCAAUAAAAACAAGCCGUGGCACGGUCAUUAAUCUAUCACGUCGCUCUGUACUCGACCAGAGCAACUCGACUACAGGAUCAGCAACGACCUAAUUACGCGCACAUGCCCUAAUUCAACACACAGAUAAUAUCCCCAACUGUCAUACAUUCAUUACAACCAUUACCCAAUCAUUGGAGAAUAUUACAUCACCAUAAAUAUGUCGAAGAAUCUGCAAGAUCCCGAGAUCUUCGCCUCAUCACCUUCUAUAAAACAGAACUACGAUGGCUUGAUCUCUAGGUUCAAUCCCCACGAACUAGAGUACGUAGGCAAUCUCGAUCUCAACGAGGUGCAGCCACCCCCGAUCUAAAACUCCCCCUUUGGUUAAGUCCAUUAGCGACCUGAUCUAGUGAAUGCAUUAAUCUAAAAAUCUAAAAAUAGGUUAAUACAAAAAUCACUGUAAGUUACUCUGUUUAAAAAAUCACUGUAAGGUGUUUGGCUUUGUUGUUAUUACAAAGUUAUAAAGAAAGACAUCUAUAGAGGUAAAACAUAACCCCUUCAGUUUUUAUAUAUUGGUCUUCACACACUUCAGUGAACCACCAUGCAUGUAACUAUAAAAGUUGGAAUGAGACCUUCUGACCUAAUUCUUUAUUAGAAACUUCACCCGUGGAACGUAGUAGUAAUUCCAAUCCGACUGAAACUAAAACUCUCCAAACACAAUCGUUACAUAAAAACCCAACUCAACUAAAACCUUCUUUAAUUGAUUAUCAAUCAAUGGCGGGUAAAGGUGAGUGUUUGAUCGGAGAUGCUGCCAGUAAUCAAGUCACAAUGAACACUGUUUUCGGUAAGUUUGUCGUGUUGUUUUCUGAUUAUUUGGUUAUAGAAGAUAUCAUAUAAAUAUAUGCUUGCUUAGAUCCGUAGGAAUAGAGUUUAUGCAUGAUUUGAGGUUUUAAACUUUUAAUUAGGAAUAUUUAUUAUACAAACUCCACUGUCUGUAGAGGACAAGCGCGCUACAAACUCCACUGUCUGUUGGAUUUAUUAUUUUGAGAGUUGCAAUCGAACAUUUUCUUUUAAUUUUGAGUGAGAAUUUGUUGAUGUCUAGUGACAGUGAUAAUCUUUGGUGGGAUUUCAAUGUCUGUUGUUGUUUUUUAGAUUGAACCUUGGACAUAAAUAUAUCAGUUUAUAUAUGUUCCUGUGUUUUAUCAUUGUCCAUACCUAAAUUGAUCUUUUUGCUUUUGAAACUUUAUAGAAUCAAUUUUUGUGGUCUCAAUGUGUAAAAAAAGUUUAGUUAUUUGUUUUCACUUAAUGUUUACACCUUUUUUUUUUUUUUUUUGCUUCAUACAGCUAGCGAAGAAAUAGAUGAAUACAUUCCAACUAUGUGUAACUAUUCUUGGCAGAAGGCUGACCAUAGUAUAGAUAUGUGCCCCGGCUGGGAUAUGGAGCCAUUAUCCUGCCCUGGUUUGAACGCGUUACAAACACGUCCUUGCAGUUUUGAUAAAGAAAGGAAUGCAAUAAGGAAUUCAUUUUGGAUAGGCGACCUCUCCGAGAAAACCAAUUAUUUUGAUGUGCUUGAUAUAAACAACAUUUAUGGUCGUGUGUCAGGAAUAACAAUCGAAACCGACAGGAAAGAUGAUCUGCCCAAAAGAUUUGGUCGUGUGAGCUCUGUAAAUAGUGAUGAUGCAAAGAGAGGUCUCUACAGCGUCCUGGAAAAAGAUUAUAGUGUUGAUUGGUUGGAGGAUGUGAAAGUUAUGAUGUGUCGUAAGCUCAUGCUUAAAUUUGGAAACUUGUAGGUCCUUCAUAUAUUUUGUAUAAUUUUGUAUGGAUAUAUUAGCGUUCACUUUAAUCAUGCAAAUAUGGAAAGUAAAUCGUUGAUUCAGGCUGGAUUGCUGCGAUGGUACUGAACAUAUGCCUUCUCUAUGGUCUGUGUUCUCCCCACAUAUAUUGCAGGAUGGCCUAAAUUUUGUAGCAUCUCUGACAAUCAUCAAUCGGAAUGAAAAUAACCCAAUGGUGAAUUUGUUGGCAUGAAAUGAUUUCUAUGAGCAUUUGUCCUGUGAGAUCUCUCAGAGUGUUUAUCAAAGGGCUUCAAUAUUUAAGCAUGAUAUUCUCUUCCUGUACACUACAUGCAUGUUGAUCUUUACACAAAAUAUGGCAGAGAUUCAUAUGUUUGUCAUAUGGGGCGGAAAAUUGAUCAAUUUAAAUGAGAAAUAUUUAUGAGUUCAUCUUUGUUUUCUAGGUAUGGUAAAGCAUUUGUUGUUGCAAUUGCAACAAAUCCUACAUAUAUAAUUGCACUACUUAGUUCAUGACAUCGAAAAUAUCAGAGUAUCAGACAACCCUAUGUGUAAUCAUUCUUGAGGCUUGCCAGGCUCCCAGCCACCUUUGAAAUCGUCAAGUACUUAGUAUCUAACUAAUAGUCAAAGCUCGAUCUUCACAUUGACAACAAAGAACAAAAAUGAACAUAGACUAACAAGUACCAACUUAUAAUUAACAUAAGUAGUGUGAAUAGUGAUGAAACACAAAUCACUUUAUAGCUUAUAAUAGUUAGUUGCUAGUACUGAGAGUUCAUGCAUGUUUGUUCUGUUUUCUAUUGAUGAAGAUGUUUGUCCUAUUGGCUACUACUACUUUGUUUCCUACUUUCCUUGAUAGGGAAUCUCGUUCUCGCAACAAAAUUUAAUCAUGUAACAACUCCUUGCACAACAUUGAAGAUAUCAGACGAAAACAAGUGAUCCUUCACAGAAUCACAAUGCAUGUCACCUUUGAUCGAUAUUCUCAAGUACACUAUCCUCCUCAUUGCUUCUCACUAUAAAUAUAUACAUCUAGGAGCUUAGAUUAUCAUCCAUCCAAUGCAACUCCAAGUUAGGAAAAGCUUUCACUACUUUGAAGUAGUUAUCUUCUUGCAGCCAUUUGAUCGAUCGCUUAACUGCAUGGUAUUCCUUAAAAUUUAAAUUAAGAGAAGGUCUAUUCGACGAUCUCUUUCAAACAAGAAGAGACCACAAGUACAAAAUGUUCCAAAAGGCUCAUAUUGGAUUUCAUGGAGAGAUUCAGUAGGUCUAACUGUUCAGUGCUGAAUUGUGCAUUGCAUUUAAUUACUACCUCAAACUCAUCAAUAGUUGGGAUGUGUAGGCAUAUCCAAGGAGUCCAUAUUAAUGGCCAUCUAUGGUGGACAUGCAAUUGAUCAAGAUGUUACAUGUUCAGAGAUUAAGCUUGGUCUUUGUAAAGAAGCAACCAUUCCUUUUUAAAAAGAGCGAGAACUGGAAACUGAACGCUGCCUUUUGGGAUCCUUCCUGAUUUUAUUGAAUACCCUUUAGUUGAGUAGCUGCAGCUGCUGUAGCAGAACCACACAAACCUCGUCAUGCUUGGAGCUGUAGCUAAGCAAAUUAAUGUUGUACGUGCCAUAUAAGAAUUCUGCGUGUUUUGGUUAUAUAAAUCAGCUGCUAAAGUACUAAACCUGGACCUGGUAGUUGGUCAUGCUAGCUGAAAGAACUUCUAUCACAUCCUCAUUGGAUGGCCAAUGAUCACUGUGAGUAUGAUGUAGUACAAGUGUACAACUACAAUAACUUAAUAUAUGAACCAACCCAAUGAGGUUGUAAAACGGAAAGUUUGAGUUCUAAAAGAGCAACUGUUCUACAUAAAUUGCAACAGAAUUUAUGUAUAUAUACAUAGAGCUAGAUGAGAGGGUUUGUAAUACUGCCUUGAUACCGGACAUGCCUCAUGAAGUUUCACAUGGUUAUGCCUAGCAACUGAUUGGCAACAUUAAUCAAGUGGUCAAUUUGUACCUCUUAUUGCCAAGCCCUAUGGCCUAUCAUUUGUUGUGACAGCUUUUAACAUGCCCACCUGCAGUUUUGUGAUGAACAAUUGUGUGUUUAGGAUAACCUAUUCUUCAUGUUUUUCUUGAGGGUAUGGAUAUAAAUGGAGUGAGUGCCAACUCUUGUGUACUGCCUUCUUCUUGGUAGGACAUGUUGUUAAUUGUUUCAAUAAAACAAUAAAUCAAUGUGACUACCCUAUACAGAAAUUCAAGAUAGCAGACAAAACCAUGUUAUCCUUCACAAGGGUAUGUCUUUUAACUUAGCUCAUGACACUUUCUUGAUCGCCAUUUCCACUCUAUAUAUAUACACAUGUAUUAGCUUAGAGUAUUCAUUCAACUCCUAGUAUUUACAUCAUCUCUUGGGCAGCUAUACAAAAUCUUCACCUCCUUUUUGCUAGUGUUUUAGCAUCCAUGGCAAUUCGAUUACCUGGUAUUCCACAUAUUAAGAGAAGUCUCCGUUCGAAUAAAGAAACCUCAAUUGUUCCAAGAGGACACAUAGCAAUUUAUGUUGGAGAAUGUGAAAAGAAGCGGUUUGUGGUUCCAUUAUCAUACUUGAACCAUCCUUCAUUUCAAGAUUUACUACAACAAUCAGAGGAAGAGUUUGGAUUUAGUCAUCCGAUGGGGGGUCUCACGAUUCCCUGUGACGAACACACCUUCCUAGAUCUACUAGUCGGGUUGUUGCCUUGUAAAUCAGAUGACGAGAGAGUACUGCAGCAAUAUCUUUCCAUGGACUGCUCCGCGAUUGAACUUCACAAAAUUUUCCCCUUUUUUCAGUUAAGACACUGAGUUGUCAACCAUGUACAUACAUUUUUUUGUAACAGGGGAAUUAAGAUUCAGAAAUAGAAGUGUCUUACAUUCUUACUUUAAUAACAUUAUCAAUACAAAUCAUUCUUUCAUAUCAUGUGUUAUAUGUUUUACUUUUAGAACCUGAUAAGAUCACCCUUCAUGUUAGUAAGGGUGAUCUUUUCGCUGUUUAUUAUUUAAUCAGAAAUUCCUUAAACAUCUUUGUGUUAA
rnacentral:lncRNA from 1 species